UUCGACUGAAAUGAAACUCACGAACCCGCUUCAAACAGCUUCGCUCUCCUAUAUCUCGGUUCGAAGGUGGAUGGACACAGAUCCCAAACAAUGGAGCAGAGCGAUAAGGAGAUUCUAUUUUUGGCCAUGAGGGAUUAUGGAUUGGAAUGUAUUAAGAUAGGUCACAAAGUUUUGUGAUUUAUAAAUUUCAAUUAGGCGUUUAUAAAAUUAAGGUUUAAGGAGGAUUAUUAGGAUGAGGUGUGGGCCAAAGUAUUAGCUCAAGACCAUCCCACAAGAAGCUUUACCCUUCGGCCAUUUGGGUCUAGCCGCGAAGCCCAAAGGAGGAGGAGGAGCCGCCGGCCCAUGACUGGCCUCAAGCCCAGCCAAAUGGAGCCCCAUUGGGCUAUUGAAAAGAGGAACCAGCCCAUGAGAGGCCCACUCCUUUGCAUGAAGAUUUUGCCAAGUGUUAAUUCCCUUUGUCCAUGUGUCAUUCAUGCAAAAGCAAUGAUUGUUCAUCAUUGAGGAGAGGAAAAUUGAGGGAACUGGUUGAUGAUGAAGGGAAAGCGUCGCCAGAGAGAGGGAGUGAGAGAGAGAGCUACCGAGGGGAAGAGAGAAAUCAAGAGAGCAGAAGAGAGGAAAGAAAGGGAGCUGUCCGUCGACCAUCCGCCGUGUGUCCGUCCCUCGUUGCCAUCCGUGUGCUUGUUGUUUGCUCGGUAUAGAGGCAAGUUGGGAUCCUUAAUCUGCUCUUGCAUGCUAUGUCUAGUAUGUGUGCUUGAAUGGUGAUAGAAUUCGGAUGUUUAGGGUGUUAAAAGUGGAAGUUUUAAGAGGGAUGUUUGAGACUAGUAAACAGUUCUUGAAAAAACAGUUCGACCUUGGAUGUUUUAUUGGCUUGCAUGUGUUGUUUGAGUUGGAUUUUAGCCGUGACUUCUAAAUGAAAGUUGUUAAGGAAUUCUUGAAAUAUAACAUACUCAAAUUUGGGACAAAACGAAUAAGUAUAAGUGGGUGAAAUUCCUUAUUUUUUCGGAGAGACUGAAUCUGGAGAUUUCGGUAACUACCUUUGAUGAAUGCAUGGUCUGUAAGCCUAUCUUUUUGUUGAAGUUUCACUUCAAUUUCUUAUUGAAAGAUGUAAAGCACAUCCUGAGGUUUAACAUAUCAAAAAAAUUAGAGAAAAAUAACAAGAAUAGAUAGGUAAAAUCGUGGUUUUUCGGAAGUAGUCAGAUCUGGAAACUUCGGUAUUGAAACAAAAGAUUUAACCGUCUAUAUUAAAUCAUCUAGAACGAAUUUGACUUUUAUUUAUUCAUUAAAAACCUACCUUAUGAUCUUGACUACAACAUAGUCGAAUUUCAUGAAUUUUGAAGGUCAUUAGGGUAUUUAAUCGGAAAUAUUUCAAAAACCGUGUAAUCUGACGCGUUUGGACUUAGUCAGUUUCAAUGCAUGGGGCAUAUCAUUUUUUAUGAAGCUCUUUCGGCAAAGUUUUCUUCACAAAGUAUCUUUCGUUAUGUCUUCCCUGAAACAUAUUCAAAUUUCAUAAUUGUUGAAUUACAUUUGCCUAUUUAACCAAAAAUGUUUCAAAAACUGUGCAAGCUGUAUUGUUAGAAUAGUAAUGCUAUGAUGCACGGUCUAUAUCAAAUGUUAUGAGGGUCUUUUGGUGUGGUUUCCUUCAUGAAAUAUCUGACUUUAUGUCUUUACUAUCACAUGUUCGAAUUUCGUAAUUUUUAAAGGUCAUUUGGGUAUUUAAUGGAAAUAUUUUCUAAAACUGUGCAAGCUGGAUUGAGCGAAUUUUAAAUGCUGUAAGCUAUGAUUAUUCUGUUUUGGAUGAGCCCCAUGAAUUAUAUUGAUUGAGGUGAUUGAAUCUUGCUGAGCAUGUGAUGAUAUUUGGCAUUGCAUAUAUAAUCAAAUGCUGAAAUUGACUUUGUUGCCAUUACAUCAUGUGCCAUGUUGAUUGUGAGACAUAAAUUGGUGAAUAUGAAUUAUGAUGAAUGAGGAGACUGUUGGAGGUGGGCCAAUAAUGCCCUAGGAGUGUCAGGAUGCCCGGGAUGGGGGGUGCCGGAUGCCCGAAUGUAUUGUGGUACAUGCCCGGAUGUUCUCAGGAGUUUCGAGAUGCCCAGAAUGGUUGGGUGCCGGAAGCCUUGGAGGUUUGUGCCCGGGGAAUGCCUCAUGAUGCCAUGCCAGUUGGGAUGCGAGAUGCCCGGAAUGUGGGGGUGCCGAAUGCCCGAUGGUGUGCGUCGGAGGUUUUCUCGUGAUGCCAGGUUGGGGUGCGAGUGAUAAUGUGGGAUGCAAUUACUGAUCCCGGGGAAGAAAGAUGUGGUGAUCAAAUUAAAAGAUAAAAAGUGGAAACUGAAUCAUGCAUGGUAUAGUGAUAUGUAUGCAUGGCUGUAUGAUAUGAUGUGUAUGAGUGCAUGGCUGUAUGUGCACCUAUGGCAUGAUGGUAUAUGAAUGAAAGCUUGGUGAUGAGUGCAUGAGGAUGUAUGCACAUAUGGUAUGAUGACAUAUGCAUGGCUGAAAGGUAAGUUAUGCUUGGAUGCAUAGAUGAUAUGUACUAUGCUAUGAUGUUGUGAUUGUAUUUGUGAUGCAUUGAGUAGUUUACUGGAUCUUUUACCUGCUAAGUGGUUGUACUCACCUCUUCAAAGACCAACAUUUCAGAUUAGGAAGAUGGCACUCUCUCCAGUCACGCAGGGUACCUUUUAUGGCCUCUGUGACAUCCAGAUUUUCGAGUUCUAAUUUCGACUGGAUAAAUAGGGCCGUUUUUGUUCAGUUGAAGCCAGGGAUUGUGAAUUCGGGAUACAAGUGGGCUAUACUGAUAAGAAAAAGUACCAAUUUUAUCGAUGAAAUAUUGAAUGAAAUUAUGGGGGUCAAAUUGAUUUGAUUCAAGUGGGAUUAAGGUUUAAAUUGGGAAGAAAACCUAGCAAAAAUUCGUAUGCCCAUAAACCCAACUUUUUGAACUACCUAAAUGCUUCUAGAAGGGGGCAUAUUUGUCAAAAAUUGAAGAGUGGGAGACAGCUGGUGGUGGCCAUGUGUGGCUGACCUAAGAGAGAGAGAGAGAGUGUGAGAGAAAAGAAAGGGAAAUUGAGUUUUUCUUCCUCCCCUCUCUCCUCCUCCGUCGACAAAUCCUCCCCCAUCCCCCUUUUCAACUACUUGACUCCAUGGGAGCCGAAGACCAGUGAAGACUGAGCUGCAGUCGCUGCCUCUCGCCGUCGUCAUCGCACGCCCGAAAGCACCAGAGCUGCUCGCGCACCCGAGCUCGCCACCGUGCUGCCGUCCGCGCACCUCCGCCCUCUCUCUCUUUUGUCGAGCUCUGUCCUCCAUCUCCGGUUGUUGCUUGACAAAACCCAGCAAGUCAAAGAAGCCGCACAUCGCCUGGAGCCACCUUUCGUCGCCAUCAUCGCUCACCGAAGCCGGAGCCGCUGUCGCUGCUCCGCCCCACCAGUGCCUCACCGCACGCAGCUCCGCCUUCAGUUGCAUCGUCCCUAGCUUGGCCGACGUCCUGAGCUGCUGUCCAGCUCGUGCAAGAGCCGCUGGAGCUUCCUAUGACCACCUCCGGCCACCGUGAAGCCCCGCCUAGGUUCAGUUCGGCCCCUCCGUCCAUUUCCAACCCAACCUAGCUCUGGAUCCGCCCUCCUUCGCCCCCAACCAGCAACGCACAGAGAGUGCAGAAAAUGGGUAUCGCAGUGGGUUUUGGCCCGUUUUGGCCGUCUUCCCGAGCCCGGAUGCUCGGCCUGCUUUGAGGAAAGUCGAUCCUCGUGUCGAGCCCGUCGUUUUGAGUGAGUUUUACUCACUAAUGCCUUCUUAGUGUGCUAAUUACACUUAAAGGUUGAUUAGUGUUAAUUAAGUGUAAUUAGGUUGUUAGAUUAGAAUUGAUUAGUGAUUAUUAGUUAAUUGCUUUGCAUAUUAGUUGUGUGAUUAGUGUAAUUAGAUAGAGAAUUACCUGUAGUAUUUAUUGGAUGCUUCUUGGGAUUUUUCCCGUCCCUUAUCGGGUGUUAAUUAAGCGAUUCGGGCCUAAUUGGAAUUUUUAGGAAUUAAAUAUUAAUUUUCGAAAUUAAUUAUUUAAUUAUUUAAUUCCCGGAAAUUUAACUGGGAUGGCCAGUGGCCGGGAUUUUAUGCUGAUGAUCGUGGUGCAGUCCGUUUAUUUAAUUGAGCUUUAUAUUGUGCUAAAUUGAAUUUAUUUUAUAUAUUUAUUUAUUUUUCGAAAUUAAUUAUUUAAUUAUUUAUUUUCCGGAAAUUUAACUGGGAUGGCCAGUGAUCGGAAUUUCGUGCUGAUUGUCGUGAAGCAGUCCGUUUAUUUAUUUGAGCUUUAAUUCGUGUCGAAUUGAUUUAAUGGUGCAUUUUUAAGUAUGUUAUUAAAUAAUGCAAUUUUGGCCUUGUGAUUGAGAAUAGGUCAGGUAUCAGUUGUUAGUAUCGAAAGUGAAUUGGUAAAUCACCUUGAGGAUGCACGUGGCCCAGUGAAUUGGAAUGUUACUCGGGAAAGACACGUGACUCGGUGAUUAGAUAUGUCAUCUUGGCGAAAAGGUAGCCUUAGAGAAUGCACGUGGCUCGGAGACUCGGUAUGUCUUCCUGGAGAAUGCACGUGGCACGGUGACAUAGUAUGGCAUUGUGAAAAGGUCGGGUGGGACCAUAAAGCCACUAAAUCUUGGAAAGGUCGGGUGGGACCGUAAAGCCACUAGAUCAUGAGAGGAUUGGGUGGGACCAUAAAGCCACUAAAUCUUGAAAAGGGUCGGGUGGGACCGUAAAGCCACUAGAUCUUGAGAGGGUCGGGUGGGACCGUAAAGCCACUAAAUCUAAGGAAUUGCUUGGUGUGGGAUGAAUGACGUAGAAAUGAUUCGUUUUGCUUGUAAUCGACUAGGUCAAUUGAUCGAUGAUUCGAUCUGAGUGUGACUUGAUGUGAUUCAUUGCCUUGGUUUGAUGUUGUGAAUUGAAUGAUUGAAUGGAGAUGAUCGUGAGUGGUCUUCCUGAUAUGAAAUCGACUAAGUCGAUUAGAUCGAUGCUUCGAUCUGUGAUGUGAUUGCUUGGGNNNNNNNNNNNNNNNNNNNNNNNNNNNNNNNNNNNNNNNNNNNNNNNNNNNNNNNNNNNNNNNNNNNNNNNNNNNNNNNNNNNNNNNNNNNNNNNNNNNNNNNNNNNNNNNNNNNNNNNNNNNNNNNNNNNNNNNNNNNNNNNNNNNNNNNNNNNNNNNNNNNNNNNNNNNNNNNNNNNNNNNNNNNNNNNNNNNNNNNNNNNNNNNNNNNNNNNNNNNNNNNNNNNNNNNNNNNNNNNNNGGAGGAGGACCUCGAGGAUAACCCCGAGUAUGACCCGGAUGAGGACUGAGAUCCUGUCCUAUCUCAUCAGACCUUGUUUAUAUGUGAUUAGGCGUUAGACCAGAGUUGUGUAUAUAUAGUAUUGUAGAAUACUAUGAGAUGCAUGUAAAAAGAUGUAGUUGUGAAUUUUUAGUAAGGAAAAUAUAUGGCCUGCUUUUCUAUCCCAUUGCUUUAUUGUCUGGGGAAUUAUAACUGCUUCCGCAUGUGCAUAUAUAAAUGAAAGGGUCGGCGAUACAUAGUCCUGGGAUAUCGCAUUUUUAAAUCGACCAAAAGUAAGGGAUGUGUGCGUGCCUGAGGGUCGGGGCGUGACAGCCUCCCAUUGGACGUGGAGGUAGAGUGUUCGGAGAUUGAUUGCAUUACCAUCCCUGGUCUGACGUUUGUGCGAGUUCGCAUGCUGGUCAUGUACGAUGUGGGCUUGGCUAGGGGCCCGGUCAUUCAGGAGUUUUUAUCAGUCCACGUCCACCGAGAUGGAGAGAUUCGGGGGAUGUUGCCAUCACCACCGCUCGAUGCCCAGGAUGGGUGUGAUGGCCACGUGAGGGGUAGUGAGCUGACAUUUUUUUUAGAGUAGCCGACAUUGAUAGAUGGAGGAUGACACGUGAUCGUUAUAGGGGUCGAUUAUCUUUUGGGUUGUGGCUAAGUGUAGUUAAAAGUCUUGGCUUUCUUUUUGGUUGUACCGACCCGAGAAAAUCCAUCAUGAAAAUAUAUAAAUAAAAAGUGGUUCGGCCUUAUCUUUUCAUAUGAUGUGUAGUUGAUGUGCAUUGCAUUAUGUUAUUGGAGGGAGAGAUGGUGAGACUCAAUUAUGCUUCCGCUAAUAAGUUGCGCUAGAACCGUUUAAAAAAAAAAAAAACAAUGUGCCUAAGAACCUCAAUCCUUCUUUAAACCCCUUUUUAUAAAAGACAAAUAACGAAUAUCUUUCGAGAGAGAAAGCGAUAGGCAGGCUGUGGCGACCCUAACGGAUUGGGGGCAUUGAGGGGUGCCACAUAUAAUAGAAAUCUCCAAGACUUGACAACAAGAGACCCACUAAAUUACAGCACUAAUAAGUCACUUGAUCCAAAAACACUCUUGCCGACGUGUAUUCCACAGUAGACCUCAAGCAGGCCCAUGUUUUUCCCCGAAUUCAAAUUUAAAUUGGUUUUUACUAAACAUACGUAGUCAAGGUGAAAACAACAUAAAAUAGAUGGACCCAACAUUAAUUCAAAACUAGCACACCGCACACAGAAAGUGAAUAAUCAAGCCCAAGAGGUUCUCAAUCAAAACAUUUACAUGACAAGCUCUGUGUAAUGCAAUAAAUCGAACUAAACCUAACCAAAAUCACUCGUUGUCAGUCUUAUCCAUUGCAAUAACAGAGCGAUACAUAAUUCAUUCACCGGAUUGAAAAUGGAGAAAUCAAAGUCAUACUCUCAUCCAAGAGUACACAUUCUGCUACCAUGAUUCGACUUGAAAGAUCCCUUUAAGAGUAUUUGGCAGGAGCACCGGCUUGACGGAUUCUCUUUUGGUGAACAUCCCAAUUAUACACACGAGCCAUCAUAACCUGCCAAAUAAAGAUUGAACUCUCAAGGGCCGUUUCACCCCCAAAAAGAAAAGAAAAUUUCCAGGGGCCACCAACAUAAUUGCCAUGAUAUAAACGAAAGAGUUUGGUCCUCCAACAAGUUUCGAAUUUUUUCAAUUUCACUUAAGUGCAAUAUGACCACACUCCAGGUUGUCACAAAUCAGCAUGUCUUUGCAAUUUAUAGCCUCAAGGCUCACACCAGUACAAAAAUCACGGCAGCAGUAAUUCAACACAACAAACCUACCCCAAAACUGACAUAAUAAAUGGCUUGAAACUAAAAUGGACCUCCAAGUUCCAAAAUAUUCUGACUUACGUGCGUGAUUGUUACUUGGUCCAGUAAGAACUGUAGAUUAGCAACAAGAACUUCUAAACUUGCUUUAGCGUUUUCUAGGUUCUUUUGUAGAAGAGUUGUGGCCUGCAACACGAAUGGAUACAAUAAAUAAGAUACUCGACAUCAUCAUUGGAGAUAAAGGCACAUUGCUUCAACUCGAGUACCUCUUCGCAUGAAUACUCCAACAUAACAUUUGCUCCCACCAUAAACAUCCUGAAUCAGCAUGUUCAAUGCGAGCUCGAGAACAUAUGCCUUCAGAGACUUUAAAAUCAGCAAGAUGUGCCUGCAUCCACGAUAAAGAGCCGUAAAUACCAGUCAGUUCGGCACCAAUUAUUAUAUUUUGCGUCUUAGAAGUUUUGAUGGUCUUAGAUUUUAAAGCCCAAUAUAGUAAUCCCACCAUAUUUUGCUUUCUAAUAGGACCUUUAGACAUGAAAGCAUAAUAUUACCGUCGUUAUUCAAGUGUCCAAAUCUAAAACCACCGCACAAUUAUUGAGAUUAACAUGGGUUCUUCAAAGCACUAAUUGAGAUUCUUAGGAACAUUGCUUCCAGAAGUGCAUUUGUGAAGGAAAAAAGACAAUCAAAUAUUCCAUAUUUAGUCAAGUGCACCAAAAGUAGUUCCUAGUAUGGCAAGAAUAAGACUACCGUAUCCUCUUCCUGCUUUGUUAAGAUAAAAAAGGAUGAUCAGCUAAGAUAUCAUCGAGGAGCAAGAAGAUAUUUGAACAUGCAAAUUUUCUAGCAUAAGAUAUGAGAAUAUUUUAGUUCACAUUACAUAUGCCAAGGAUUCCAGAUUAAAAAGUGAAACUGUCAAGUGAAAAAUUGGUGGUUUAAUGACAGAAUGAAGAACUUCAGGCGAUAAAAUGAGAAAUGACUCUAUAUUGGAUAAAUAUGAUCUGUUUAUGAGUAACAAGUUUACUUCGUAAAAAGCCUCAACAGUCAAUAGCAUGAGUUCGAUAGAUAUCCAAUAAGUAUACUCAGUUACAAUACAUGCACCGAGAAGCAUUUAGCUUGAAUUUCAAUCUUAAAUUCCAGUUCUAAGGCUACAGUUCAAUCUUUCAGUAAUAUGGACACAUGCUCGUUGCCCACAUAUAAUGGCAUGCUCGAUAAGAGGUCACUUUGCUAUAGCACAUCUAAACAUUCCUCUUGGGUCAAAAACAAUUUGGGAUCCAACAAUUGAGCUACCCAAGUACAAACUUGCAGGUUGGAAAGGUGAAUGCCAAAAAAUGGGAGCUUUCCAAUCAGCCAGUUUACUUCAAUCAUAAUGCAGGUUCCUAGUUCAGUAUCAAAUAAUCUAGAGCCUAAAAAAGAGGAUAUCUCUAUGGUCGAAUGGAGUGGUGAGGUUAAGUAAUUGUUGCAUCAAGGUGCCCCAAUUUGAAAUGAUUGAUCAAUUCAAAUCCUAGAUUUUUGCAUUGAGAGAGAUAGCACACCUUAUUUAUGCAACAUUGCCAAGGGGGGUUUAAAGGUUGUAGCCUAUUUGAGGGAGAAAACCUCAGUGUAGAGACAGAUCGAGGUAGGAGAGAUGAAGGGAGGACAUAGUACUACUUGCACGCUCUGUGUUUUGGCAGAGAGGCUGAGAUGCCUGGCUACCUCGUAGUUGGUUUUAUGAAGGACUAGUGCAAGAUAAUUCUAGCAGAUUCUUGUUCACUAUAGAGAUAUGCAAAUGACAGCACACGAGCAGGAAACUUUGUUGAUGGCAGAAAGUAUUGGGAUGUACAAUUCACCACUUGCGCAGAGACUAGUGAACAGACGAGAACAAGACUGUCAAACUACAGUUCUUGCAUGCUAGUUAGUUGGUAUGAAAGAGACGGGGAAGGACUCUAUCUAAAGAAGGCAAGGGAUAUUAGCCGCUUAUAAGAUGAAAACCACAUGGAACCAUAUGGCACCACUAGCGAUUGCCUUGGGAGUGAUUUAAAAUAGCCAAUAUACAAAAAGAAAAAAGAAGGAUGCAGACAAAUCAAUACUAGAUAUAGCAAAGUCAAUGAGAAUCCUCAGGUCACCCACUUAUUAUGUUGUUGUUGGACUAAAUCUCCUCAGGACAUGGAUCUGUCAAAGAGCCGCAAAUAAGAUGGUGACCAUGGAAUUGAACAAUACCCAAUCCAAAUCUUGACUAGUUUACACAGUCAGAAGAAAGAGUUGUGCGAGACAACAAACCUUAUCAGAACUCUUCUUGGCCUGCAGAGUAGCGACUAUGUCUAACCACUUCUCAAAAUCAGUUAUUUUUGCUUGGCAUUUGAUAUAGACAUGGAGUUGAUAACAAAUUUAGAUGUGAGAUUGCACAAUGGAAUUCAAUCAACAUCGCUGUAGUUGAAAAGAAGCCUCUUACAGCUUGCUCAGAAGUUCCAAUGUACUUAUCCAACAGUUCAGCCCUUUCACUGAUAUGGAUUGAAGAGAACAAGCUGCUAUUGCUGCACUAACAAUGCAUGUCUUGCCAAAGGCCGUACGUCCAUGUAAAAGAACAUUUGACCAUGGCCUUUGAGGAGCUUGCACAAAAACACUUCAUCAGCAAAGGUAAGAAUGAUAGAUAUGAAGAUCAAAUAAUUUUAUUUAACAAGUUAAUAUUAACCACAUUAUUAGCACAGAGAGAGAGAGAGAGAGAGAGACAGAGAGAUAGAGAGACAGAGACAGAGACAGAGACAGAGACAAAGAGACAGAGAGAUAGAGAGAGAUCAGACACAAUCAAUGCAGUUAUACAAGCUUCCUUGAAUAAAAUGCAUGCAUAAUUUAGCUCACUUACAAGAAUGCAUCAGGGAAACAAUGUUAGGUAGUUAAACCCCAAAAUCUCAAGCAAUCCCAUUAUCUCAUUGAAAUUUUGCAGAGUCUAACCACAAGCUCCCUUCACUACAUUGUCGAUCAGCAAAAAGAGGAUUAGACAACUCACCACCAUAUAAUGACUUUGAUGUUACAUGAAAAGUAAGGCACCCAAUGGGAAACAGACACUUAGGAACCUAUGACAGAGAUUAGUAUUGCUCGUCUAGAUACUCAAUCGGGGAAGACACUCAUAAAACAAUAAUAGGAUCCUCGCACGUGUUGAGUACAAGGAGCUACUCCUUUUUCCAACAAAAUAAUGAAUUCCUCAUCCACCAAGAAAAAGUGAAUUAAGCGAUCAAACAAUGUGAAGUAUGUGGGAAGCACACUCGAGAAUAUGAAAGGAAGUCGCAGAUCUUUCAAGUUUUAGUCCCCCAACAUGUCCACUACCUGAUUGAUUUCCCAAGGUCUAUGAAACAAAUUAUCAACUUUNNNNNNNNNNNNNNNNNNNNNNNNNNNNNNNNNNNNNNNNNNNNNNNNNNNNNNNNNNNNNNNNNNNNNNNNNNNNNNNNNNNNNNNNNNNNNNNNNNNNNNNNNNNNNNNNNNNNNNNNNNNNNNNNNNNNNNNNNNNNNNNNNNNNNNNNNNNNNNNNNNNNNNNNNNNNNNNNNNNNNNNNNNNNNNNNNNNNNNNNGCAUUCCAAGACUCUGCAUAAAUAGAUGAAAAAAAAACUAAUAAUUAUGGCCAGAGAAGCAAAACUUCUACUUUAAGAAUGGGAGUAUUUGAAAAUUGCAACUAUAACCAUCAGCAUCGGAUGUAGAGUAAAGCUGACAGUGAUCUUUGAUUGUGCAAAAUGAUAAUCCCAAUUCAAUCUCUAGAAUUGCAGGAAACAAAAUUCAUGUAAAAGGGAGCAACUGAGGUUAUUGCAUUUGCCUUAUUUAAUUCGUGAAUGAGUUAAGAGUCAUCAAAUUCCCAGACCCAGCUCAAAACAACAAAGGAUUCCAAAAAAAAAAAAAAAAAGACAUGUCAUUUGCACAACAAAUGAUAGUUCAAGAACGUAAAUGCCUUAUCAGGUGAAUUGCAACAUCUUCCCCAACUAUGUUUGGUAAUUUAAGAUGGGAGAGAAUGAACAAAUAGCAAACAAACAAACAAACAAAAUGAAGUUCAGAAGUAACUAGAAAAGCACCUUCAAUUCUUCAUGAAGGAAGUAACUAAGUCACUCAUAUAGCAUAAAAGGUAUCGGCAAUUCACUCUUUCCCUGACCAAGCAUUAAUUCCUUUAAUUCAUUCCUCACAAAUCAUGAUUAUUCUGUAGUGAAAUUGAAAAAACACUACAUAAGGUAUGACCAGUACUCUCAAUAACCUCUGCCUUUCAACAAAACAUAGCAUUUGUUAGCAUCUUCAGUGUGAUUGCUAUUUAGCCAAGUUAUGUGCUACGAAGCAUGUCAACCCCAACAUUAUGCUGAUGCGCAACAUAAACCAAACUAAGUAUCACCACCAUGGAGGCAAGUGAAAGUACUGCAUGUUCAUGACAUGCAAACAAGGAAUUUUGCUCAAAGAUAACAGGAUGAAUGAAUACAAGCAGUGGUUCCAAAACUAAGAUGAAAGAUUAGCUAAAAGAAAACUCACAAACUGGAUGCAGCAAAAAAUGAACUUUAGUUCUAUGGACUUACCAUCAUCGAUUAUCUUUGCCAAUCAAAUGAUACAUACCUUAUCCAUCUCUAUUGAGCUUUGGGCAGUCAAUGAGGAUGAGUUGACAAGAUUUUGGCACACUCAAAACUGAAAUGAUCGACAUCCAUUGAUGUUGUUCAAGAGGCUCAAGACCAGUUUACUACACUUCUUGUAAGCUACUUUAGCAACUGAAAAGUAAUUCAAGUAAUCAUGCCGUUAAUUACCUUCUUUGAUAUAUAUGUAGUUUAUCCAAUACUGUGUAUCCGAAGUUAAACAACUCUAAAUCAAGGAAAAGUCAUGUCUAGCAUUUAAUAGUCCGCUUUGAAGGUUAUUACGUAGUCUCCAUAUUAAAUGCUUCAUAUAAGUGCAAUUUCCAAUAGCAAUUUACAGUUAGUGUGCUAUGGAAAGAGAGUACUUUUUGUUACCAUGUAAGACGAAAUUAUUACCUUGUUCCAGCCAACACAAACACACCGCUUAAAACUUCAACACCAUCUGAUUCGGUAAAAAACUGCACCAAUGAAUAACAUGUCAUUUUUUAGUCAUACCAUCAACUAUAUUUCACAUGAUCACUUUAUAAGUGCCAUUGAAUGCAAGAAACUAACUGAUUGAUGACAUGGUUGGUGACCCCUGUACUAUCAUGCCCCCUCUUCAGCACAAUGGAAUCAAAUUCAUGAAAAAAGAGAAGGCAAGGUGCUAUAGCCACUGCCUUCAAGAAUAUAUCCAAACCUGUAAUUUUAAAAUUGCCAUUACUCUCAAAUAUUCAAAAUUUCUCUAGUUUGCUCACAAAAUCAAUGCCGUCAAUGUGCAUAAUAGAUAAUCCAGUAGACAUUUGAUCACAAAUUUCAAAUUUCUAGUAGAGAAAAACUUCAAAUAUCUUACAUCUUAAUCUUUCUCUUAAUCUUCAUAGAAGAUUCUCUCAUUCAUGCAUGAGAAAACUCAAGAACCAUUUUAACUUGGCCUCUUGAUUGGUUAUAGGAGAAUCUUCAUUGGUUAACUUGGCCUCUACAUUAACUGCAGUGGUAGGAUCCUCAUUGCUGCUGCUAGUUAUCAUAUAUCGACUACUGGCAUAGAUGAAGGGACCUCUAUUAAAUGCAUACAAAAGCAAAAGAAGAAAGCACAAAAUUGUGAAAUGUAUGCAAAUAACAAAGUUCAAUAAAAAAAAUUACAUACUGGAACUCAAUAAACAUUCAUGUAGUUCAAAAGAAGCCUCUUAUAGCUAGCUAAAAUGUACCAAUGUACUUAGCGACAACUCUGCCUUUUACUGAUAUGGAUUGAAGAGAACAAGUCGUUGUUAUAGCACCAACAGUAUGUCUUGCCAAAGCCUAGACAUCCAUGUAAAAGAACAUUUCACCAUGGUCUUGGAGGAGCUUGUGCAAAAACAUUUUAUCAAUAAAUGUAAAAAUGAUAGACACAAAAAUCAAACAGGUUUAUUUAACAACUUAACAGUAACCUUAGCACAGAAAGAGGGAGAGAGAGAUGAGGAAAGGUGCAAUAAGUCAGCUGAAAAAAUAAACAAAACCUAGUCUUCAACAACACAAAGGUGCUCUUUCCUAACACCAGAAAUUGCAGAAUGCACAACUCGAUGCAGCUAAACCCAGUCUUCAACGAAAUGGUGGUUUGACCAUAUCGACAAGUUUACUCCAAUAUCAAUUGUCUCCCAGCACGAAUUUCACACAUAAAUGGCUAAUUACUAGAAUGAAGAAAGAUAGUUCACAAAUCACACCAUGACUCAAGACUUGAAGCUUCUCCACCUUAGUUCAAAAGUAACUAGAGAAACACCUCCAAUUCUUCAUGAAGGGAAAUAACUAAAUCACUCAUAUUGCAUAAUAGGUAUCAACGAUUCACUCUUCCACUAACCAAGCAUUAAUUCCUUUAUUUCAGUCCUCACAAAUCAUGAUUGUUCUCUGCUAGUAUUAGAAACACUCCAUAAGGUGAGAUUAGUACUCUCAAGUCUCAACCACCUCAGCCUUACAACAAAACCUAGCAUUUUUCAGAAUCUUUAGUGUGCUUACUAUCUAAAAGUUCCCUUCCACUUUAUCCAUUUUUUGUAAGCAAAAUAGGUGCCGCGAAGCAUGUCAAUCCCGACUUUAUGCUGGUGUGCAACAUAAACCAACUAAGUAUCAACAUUGUCAAGUCGAGGUAAGUCAAAGCAUCACACGUUCAUUAUACACGAAAGAGGAUUUUCCCUUAGAGACAACAAGGUGAACAAAUGCAAGAGGUGGUUCUAGAACCAAGAUGAAAGGUUAGCUGAAGGAAAACUCACAAAAUAGGACACAACAAAAAAUAAAAUCUAGUUCUAUGGACUUACCAUCAUCGACAAUCUUUGCCAAUCAAAUGAUACGUAUCUUAUCCAUCUCUAUUGAACCUCGGGCAAGCACCAACCAUGAGUUGACAAGAUUUUGGCACACCCAACACACUCUCCAAUGAUUCACAUCCAUAGAACAUCAAACUUUUCAGAUUCUGUAGAUUAUAACGAUCAGAUUCGCUUAAGCUUUUGACAGAAUUGCAGCCUGAGAUAAACAAAGCCCGCAAUGAUUUCAAUUCUCCUAAACCCUGAAUCUCAGUUAGCAGAGGCAAUUGGCGCAGGGACAAACUCUGGAUCUUCUUCAGGCUAGUUAGAAUGGAUAACGUCUUCAACAAUGGACAGUCUUCCAUCAACAAUUCAUUGAAUUUCCGUAGCUCUCCAAGCACCUCGAAUCAAAUCUCUCCUAGUGAAUAUCCAUAAACAAACAGCUUCGACAAAUUCUCCAAGUUGGAAAAGACUGACCAAUCUAUUGGUGAUUGCACAUUGUAUAAAUUUAACACUUGAAGGCUAGAUGGGAGUCCGAUAAGAGAUUGGGGCUCAGCACAACUUAUGGAGAGACUUCGUAAAUGAGAGAGGGAACUAAAAUCGGGCAAGGCCAUUUUUCCGAUGCACAAAGUCAAAUGCCACAGAGUAGGUAGUCUCACAAUGCCCUCUAUGUUAGGUUCUUGGAUUGAUGUUCCGAUUAUCUCAAGGUCAACUAAAUUGGUUAGGUUUGAGCAGUCAGGGAUCGUGGUCAACGAAUUUGCUGAAAAGGCUAAACACGUGAGACUCUUGGGAAGCUCCGGCAGCUGUUGGAUUGAAUUACAGCCCUCUAAAUUAAGUUCUUGCAGAUUUGUAAGCUGAUUGAUGGUUGUCGGCAAUCCACUAAAGCAGCCAUAGGAUAAUUCUAGAAUUUUCAAUGAGGAUAGUGCCCCAAUUUCACUUGGAAUUUCCCCCAUUAGAUGUACAAAUUGAGCAUGUAACUCUUCUAGAUUUUCCAACAUUCCUAUGGUUUUCGAAAGUUCACUUAUGUGGCUAGAAUUCAAAUCUAGUAUCUUCAACUUUUUGAGAUUUCCAAUGCAAUCAGGUAAGCUCCUAAUUCUUGAAAAGCUCAAAUCCAACUUGACCAAUGAUUGGAGCCUCCCAAUUGAGUAUGGUAGCUUUUCUAGCUCGCAAACUGAGAUGCGUAAAACUCUUAACCUUUCUAAAUUUCCAAUAGUAUAAGGUAAUUCCCGGAUUUUUGAACAUUUGACACUUAGCUUAAGUAGUGACUCCAAUUUUCCAAUAGAGUCGGGAAGCUUUUGAAGUUCCUGACAAUUCAAGAUUAGAUGCUUCAGCUUCACUAAAUUGCCAAUUGAGUGAGGCAAAACUGAGAUUAUUUUAGCUUCUAUUCUUAGCUUUGUCAAAGAUUUUAGACGGCGAAUGGACUUUGGUAGUGACUUAAUAGCUUCAGACAUUAUUUUUAGGUAAUCAAGAUGCUGCAAAUUGCCGAUGGACUUGUCAAUCUUUCUUAGUUGAGAGCAUAUAAGAAUCAAUCUCUCCAAUUGCGAGAUUGCGUAGAACUUGCACGUCUUUCUAAGGGAUGGACAAUCCUCGAGUUGUAGGACUUUCAAUUGUUUUGCUACCUAUAAAGCAAUUGAGUUGAAUCUUAGAAAAGAAGAAGAGUAAAUGUAAUACAAAAGUAUGUCAUGAGAUCAUACCAUGAUUUGACACCAUCCUUCCCAGUCUUCGUUAAUGUUAUUCCCCGAAAGCAUGACAACCACUAGGUUCUUCAACCCAAAGUUGGUUGCUUGGAAUUCUAAAGGGCAGUUGCUCCAAGAGAGCCAUCUUAACUCUGAGAAAAGAUCUUUAAAGUCUCCUUUAAAGUUUCCAUGGUCCAAUUGAAGGAACCUAAGGUUAACCAACCUCUUAAAUUCUUUACGUUUAAAUUUGUAUGCUGCGUCAGGUUUAGGUGUGCCAAGAUUGAGGCCUACUAUGUUCUCAGUUCCCUAGAAGAUAAAAGUAGCAACUAAUGAGUACAUGUGUCAAUAUGACUAAUGAUCCUAAUGGAAGGAUAAGGAAAAUAUUUAAAGGUAAAAAUUACCAUUUUUCUAUGCACUACAUGGAAGGCAUCCCUAGGUGACCACAAUCUGCUACUCCUUAGAUGUAUGUUGCAGCUUUCCGAGUGGACGAUAUCCCUUCCGAGGUCUCUAAGUUGAUCGUGCAUCCAUAAAAUAUCGUUGUCCAUGAUCUGUAUUAGAGACAUAUAUGUGAGGGUCUUGACUUUGAUUUCAGUAGGAUACCCAAAGACCGCGUCCCAAUAUUUCAUUGCAAUUGUUUUAUUUUUGUCAAUGAAGAAACAUGCAAUAUCAAGAUAAAUAUGUUGUUGCUUAGCAUCCAAUGCUUCGUAGCUUAUCAUCAACUUCUUCUUCACAUCCUCAUUCAUCACAGUAUUUAACUUAUGUAGGAUGUCUUCCCAUGUCUUUUGGGAUUUUCCGCAAAGUGUGGAACCUACAACAUCGAGAGCCAAUGGAAGUCCUCCAAGUGUAUUGAUUAGCUUAUUUGCAAUAUCCACGUAAUUAUAUGGAGGCUUGGCACAUCCCAAGGCACGCUUACAAAAAAGUUGAAGAGCAUCAUGUGAAUUCAUCUCCGACAUAUUGUAGAAUGAAAAUUGUCCGUUAUUAGAGGCUGGGACAUUGUCAUCCUCACCUUCGUUUACAAGGAAUUCAAUAUUCCUAGUUGUUAUGAUGAUUCUACUGCCCCCACCAAACCAGUUGGGCUCGCCGGCAAGUCUCAUGAUUUGGUCUCGACUGUCAAUGUCAUCAAGAAUAAUGAGAACUUUCUUGUCAUGAAAUCUCGUCUUGAUCAUGUCAACCCCUUCAUCAAUGAAGCAUAGGUCUAUGCAACUCAAAUGGAGAAUGUCGGACAACAAUUUCUUUUGUAAGUUUAUUAUAUCAUGAGUCUGAACAUCCUUAAGAAAGCAGCAAUAUCUCUGAAAUUGAGAGGAGAUUUGUCUGAAGACAGUCUUAGCCAGUGUCGUCUUUCCGAUGCCACCCAUACCAUGAAUCACGAUAAACCUUACAUCAAAAGCUUCUAGAUCUAAUUGCUUCAUAAUCUCAUCCGUUCGAUCCUUAAUUCCCACCAAAUGAUCAGGCAAAAUAUUGUCCAAAAUCAGUGUUAAAUUUAUUGUGUGAAUAUCAAUUCAAUUAUAAACUUUUCAAUUUUAAUAAUAUUGUCCAAAACUUUUACACAAAAUUUCAAUGUAGCCCUUGCAGUCAAUAUCCACCGAAAAUUGCUAAAGUGGCAAUCUAUGCAGGAUGUCAUUUCAAGUAAAAUUGUCCACGUCAACUUGCCACAUAGGACAACAGUGAUGAAUGGACGUCAUGUUAGUAAUUUCUUGUGGCAAUUGAGCAAAAAGAUUACAUUAAAAUUUCACGCAAAUACUUAUGACCACAUUAACAAAAUUAAAAUGUCUUGUGCUCAAAUGUCAUGCACAAUAAAUUUAGAACUAAUUUGAUAAUUAUGCCUCCACUUCAUUUUAUACUUUUUCACACCGGUUGGUUUCUUCUUGUCGCACACAGCUAAGAGCGAGACCUCUAGAAAUUUGGUUAAAUAUCAAGUCCUCGGUAAACUCGGUCUUGAUAAUCUCUUCAAGCGAUAGGGAUGAGUUUGAAGGUUAAUGGAAAAUAAAAAAUCUCACUCGCAAUUGCCUUGAAUAUAGGAAACAAGAAUAAUCUCUCAAAAGCAUUUUUCUUAACGUACCCAUGGAAUAGAAUACUAACCGAAAAUGAGGAAGAUUUUCUGGAAUCUAUAUCAACCUUGAUUCGAGUUGCCAACAAACAUUUCUCCAAAUAAGUUAGAAAUAAUUUUAGGUUACCCAUUCUUUUUAUAAUAUUGGUAACUGCAAACUAGUUGGAACUUUAAUCGGAAUAAAUUGGUGAGUAACUCAACUUAGGAUUGGUAAUUUAACAAUAGAUUUCGUUGCCUAAUAAUGUUCGUAACCUGUGCAAAUAAAAGUUGGUGCGUUAUUAACGAAAGCUUAUGAAGGUUGGUUGUUUUGAAACAAAUAAUAAAUAUUGAUAAGUAGCUCAAAUAAGAAUGUGUAGCUUAAACUAGUUAUUAACUUAAUUAGAAAUUAGUUAAUUUAGAGUUAGUAAUUCGGUACAGGAUUUGGUAAUUUUGAGAUGUGGAGUAAACAAUAUGGUAAGUUGUGCAGAAGUUGUAAAUCGGCAAACAAUCUAAUAAACUUAGUAAAUGAUUUACAUAAAAGCCGGUAAGCUAAAACUAGUUUGUAAAACAAUGGAAAAAAAAAGUUGGUAAGACACAAAUUAAAGUCGAUAAAUUCAUAUGAAAACCGAUAAUUUAAAAAUUAGGGAUGGGCAUGGAGCAUGGGAAAUCUGCGCCCCGCGGUGGCCUGCCUUGGAUGUGGCAAAUUUUUUGAGGAAAUUUUUUCUCAAACAAUUGCCUCCCUGGGAAUGUUGCACGAAACAAGUUGGGCAUGGAUAGUAAUAGGCUAGCCCUUCCCGUUCUCGAGGGUUGAAACUAUUAAUGCGUUUAACGAAAGAUAGAAACAGUAAGGUUUAAUGAAGAAGGAUGUGAGUAAGCAGAGAGUAACGGCUAGGGUUUAUAGUAAAACUAUCACAAACCAGGAUAAGGGUAGCUACAUAUCUCAAGGUAAUUUACAAUUGUUAAAGUACUUAUCCAUUUUCUAGAGGCUUUUAAAUUUCUCCAACCAUAGCUACAACUACUUGGAAGUCCCUUAGGUGAAUUUUUGGUUAAUCAAGAUAUGGGGCCAUGAAUAGGUCCAUGCUUAAAGCAACAGCAAGAACCAAUUUUUAUGUUUUAACAUUCUACUAUAAAUCACUAUAGAAUAAUAUUCAGUUUAAGGUUGCACAUCUUGUCUACGCACAAUUGGCCACUAGAGGAGCCUUUGACCCUUGCCCCACCACAGUGAAAACAAAAGCCCAAGAUUGAUAAUACACCUGGACCUAAGUCAGUCCGUCGCAAACUAAUCAAGAAUUACUCUAAUAAAAAUAUACUGGAAGACCUCUAACAGUUACAGAGAUCCUUUUUUUUUUUUUUUUUGGUUCUUUUGCGUAAUGGCACAAAGAUCUUUGCAAUGUUCGGUCUUGUAUACUCAAACCAAAUAGAAAAACCAUAACCUAUAGUUUCCUCUUAUGGGGUUAAAAAACUAUCAUCAUAAAAAUCUCCGUUAUUUUUGUGUAACUCGGUGGUGCCACCGUAAUUAGCCGGUUAUUUCAAGGGAAACAUCAGCAAAGCAUAUGAAUUCUCUAGGGCUGAAACCAAAACCACAAGGAUCGGUUUCUUACUCUUGGCCGUAAGUUUUUGGAUAUCGCAUAGACUGCGAUAGACUAAGUCUAUGCCAUAAUUUCUCUAUGUUUCCUUAAUGUAACAAAAACAGAAAGAUCUAACAUCAAACUCAAUCUAAUUUUUCAGGAAAACAUUAUAGGCAUAGGGUUAAGGAAAAUUACACCAAAAGUCCUUAAUUUCAUGUACGGAAUGCAAUUGAAGUUAAUAAACUUAAUUUUUUUAUUUUUCACAUAUAUAUGGUCUUACUAUUUUAACAUAUCUUAGAUCUUAAUGGAUAUCUUGGUUUUUUGGCAUUAUAGAUUAAUUAAUUAAUUAAGUUGCUAUACCUUAACUUUAAUUGUUAUAAAAACUUGAUAUUAAAAGGGAAAAGUCAAUUUGUGCAAGAAACCUCGCCCUCUGAGCAAUAUUUUUGGCUCCUCAUAGCGUCAAAUCCAACCAUACGUUACAUAAGGUUGGACAGCAGCAAACCGAAUAGUUAUUUUUUAAAGGAACGAGAAAUUGAAAAUCUCAACAAAGAAAAUAAAGUCAAUGGAGAAGCAAAUAAUACCCGUGAUCUUUUAGCUUCCUUCCUCUAAUUCUAGCAACCUUUCUUAAAGUCUUCUUCCACUUCUUUACUAAAUCCUUCCCGUAGUCGCUCUUGUGCUUCCGAAGGGCUUUCCGAUAUAACUUAGUCUUAAGCUUGACAUCAUCCACGUCCACAUCAUAAAAUACAGGGAGGAUCACUUUCUCAGCAUUAGCUCUCUUUAGCUCCACUAUGCGUGCCAGUUCACGAAGGCACCACUUACUUGAGGCGUAGUCCUUGGAGAAAAUCAGGAUGUAAAUUCUGGAGUCAUUGAUCGCUUGCAAGAGGCCACCUUCAAUCUCUUCCCCAAAUCGGAGCUCUUCAUUGUCUUUGAAAACGCGGAUCCCCGCACAGAUCAGGUCAUUGUAGAGACAAUCAGCCAUGGUUAAGCGGGUGUCGGGCCCUCUGAAACUUAAGAACACUUCGUAACCCCUCUCCGAUCCGCCAUCAUGGCUACUGCCCGUCCCAGUUACCGUCGCCCUCCCUUCUCCCUCCCUCUUUCUCUUCAUCCUAGUAGCAAGACGGAGUGAUGGAUCCCCGAAUUGAGUCUGCCCAGUGACUUGGGAAGUCUUGAGUUUGAUCCUUGUAACAACUUGAUGACGCAACGGAGAGAGAUCUCUCACUUUCGCUGCGUUCGCCUGGAAGUUACCUGCAGCCUUCCUCCACUCCCCACUCGUUGCUUGAAGGUGAAAGGUGAUGCACAGCUCUCUCUCUCUCUCUCUCUCUCUCUCUCUCCCUUCCGUGUUUCCUCGACGACAAGGGCUGACGGCACGGGAAGGGGAUACGACGUCGAUGGCGACAGCAACGGCGGCGCAGUGGCGAGGUGGCGAAGGCUUGCAGUGACCGAUUGGUGGAGGGGAGAGACUGAGGGAAGAACAGGGGAUUUUUCAGAGUCCGGAUAUUAUUUUAUGGAAAUUCGUCAAGAAGAGAGGGCAGUUUGGUCAUUUAGGAGGGGUAAUCGCACCAAGGGGGAAAAGAGACUGCCGGAGUCGCGCGUUUGAAGCGCUUUGCGAUAAGAAAGGAUUAAAACUAAAAGCGAAAAGCUUGGCUGACGGUCACUCUAAAUGGGGCAUUCUUGUAGGGUAUGCAACCCUUUGCUCUGAUAUUAAUCGUAGAGUGUGCAGCUUACAAAAUAUGCGGAAGUGUUAAAAUACUAAAAUCAAACUAAUUGAUACAUACACACACUCAAGCACACUAGCUGAUACAUGCAUACACUCAGCUUUCUAUUUUAUUCCCUUCUCGAUCACGGAGGGAUAACUCGCUCACACAGAGCUACUGAGGCUGCAGUGUCUCCUGAGGCUCACACCUUGAUUUCUAUCUGAAGAGACUCUCUCUCUCUUUCUUAAUCUCUCUUUAUCUCGUGUGGGCUUGCCUGCCUUUUGCACUCCCAAGCCCUAUUUAUAGACAUCUUCCCCCGCCAGUACUUCACCGCCUGGAUUCUACCGCCAUUGACUUCAACAUGCNNNNNNNNNNNNNNNNNNNNNNNNNNNNNNNNNNNNNNNNNNNNNNNNNNNNNNNNNNNNNNNNNNNNNNNNNNNNNNNNNNNNNNNNNNNNNNNNNNNNCACGGGAAAAAAAUAAAAAGAUAAUGAUAAAGAAUUUUAAAAUUUAUUGAAAAUUUAGAAAAAUAUCAAAAUAUUAUUAAAAAGAAUCUACGUUAGUGCCGAUCGUACCAAAUAGGACAAUCGGCGUCCAUGUCAGCGAAUUCCAACUAAAAUUGAUUAGAUGAAUUCAAUUGGUAAAAUAUGAAAAUAUUUAAGAAUCAAUUGAUAAAAUUAAAAUGUUUAAAACUAAAUUGGUAAAGGUGUAAUAGAUUUAUGACUAUUUGGAUAAUUUUCUUGAAAAUCCAUGAGAUUACAUUUCAGUCUUGAUGAUGGUGACGGUAAUUGUCUCAGCGUGAUGACCUUAUUUUGUGGUUCCGUCAAAACGCCAUUAAAAUGUAAUGCAACUUGUCUUAUAUUCUAAACCCUAUGAGCUAUGCGGCAGUGAUGACGUACUUGAGCGGCAUGCUUUGUAAGACAUUUAUUUUUUAAGAUACCAACGAAUAUGCUUGUGUCACGGCCCGAAAGAAAGCAUGUCCAAGAGGUUUUCGAUCGGCCCGUGAUAUUUGGCUAUCUUAUAGUGUACGAUUUUGACAUAAAUUAUAUCGCAGCAUCCAAUUCCUCUCUUCUUUAACUAUUUGACAAUGAUAUUAUAUUGGUUUGAUGAUAAUUUAUUUUUCAACAAAACCAACUUCAUUUUUUAAAAAAAUUCUUGGCAUUCAUGCGGCAAAUGUCAUUUAUUGAAUUUUUUAAUGUUGAUCUGAGAUAUGAUUAAACAGACUAUUUUUGCCAAAAUUGAGAACUUAAUCGAGGUGAUGACUACUCUAAUAGAUGGCUUUGAAUCUUUGAUACCAUUGAAAAAGGUGCAUUCGGUUGUCGAUAUUAUUUGAAAAAGUAUAUAUAGAAUCUGAUGGAAUAGAUAAGGAAAUGACAUUCUCUAAAGUGUGUUUUUUUUUUUUUUUUUAAGAUGAGAUUCUCUAUUGUGAAGGGGCAAUUUUACAUCUUAAAUUUUCUUCCUAGAGUAGUUGGCACCAUAUUUAACAUGUUAAUAAUGUCAUCAUGUCUUGAACAUGUUAUUAUGUCAUAUUCAAAGUGGGCACCGAGUUUGAGAUCUAACAUUAUGAAAUUGUAUAGAUGUAAAGCGGGAUAAGUACACUAAUGGUGCCAUAAGUUGUGUACGGCGCUCACUUUGAUGCCAAAAGUUUCCGUUGGAUCACUUAAGUGCCAAAUCGGAGAAAAAACGAUCACUUUGAUGCCACCAGCGAAAGAUUCUAGCCACUGGCGAAAGAUUCCAGCGAAAAUGAUUACGUGGCUUUUUUUUAAAAAAAUAAAAUCGAUAGGCCUUUAAAUGACGUCGUUUUCGGUCCUCCUUAAGAAAACGACGUCGUUUUGCCAUCCUACAUGGAUGGCUUCACGGAAAUGACGCCGUUUAGCUCACAUGGGGAUUGAAAUUAGGGUUUCCGCCGCUCAGCCACCGUCGCUCGGCCACUGUCACUCGGCCACCAUCGCUGCUCGGCCACCGUCGCUCAGCCACCAUUGUAGUUGCUCGACCAGGUGAGCGAGGAGAGACUGAGAUUGUUGCAGGAAAAAUCGAAGGCGAGGGCGGAGGAGGAGGAUGAAGAAGAUGGGUCGAAGGUGCUGCCGGUGCACUGCUGCUGCUGGUGCGUUGCUGGUGUCGCUGCUGGUGUGCUGCCGGUGCUGUUGCUGGUGCCAUGCUGGUGCCGUUGCUAGUGUGGGUCUUCGAGGAAGAAGAAGACACGAAGACGAGCCUUCCCUCUCUCUCAAUUUGGGGAUUAGGGUUUCAAAGUUGGGGGAAAGAUGCCAAACAAUGUCGUUUUGGUGUUUGGAUGCUGACUCAACUCUCCGACGAGCCACGUCAGCUUCAAAAAUUAAUAAAAAAAAAUGCCACGUCAGAUUUCCGGUCAAUUUCGUCAGCGUUGGCACCAAAGUGAGCGUUUUUCAAAAUUUUUGGCACUUAAGUGAUCCGACAGAACUUUUUGGCACCAAAGUGAGCGCCGUACACAACUUAUGCCACCAUUAGUGUACUUAUCCCGAUGUAAAGCGGACAUAUGUGAAAUACUUUAUAAAUAUCGAGGAUUAACUUCACUUAAAAAAUUGGCUUAUCAUACAUGCACUUCAAGUCGGGAAACAAGAAGGGAGAAGGAAGAGGCAAAGGAAUCCAUUGGCCUUGUAUGCAAUUUUUUCUACCACAGAUUUGCAUUUAAUUAAAUUAUGCAAUUCAAUCAUUUCGUAAAUCACGGGAUCCUAAUCUCGACCCUUAUCCUAGUGCCUCCUUAGAUAAAAUUCGGCAUGUUAAAUAAUAUGAACAUCCACAUAAUCUAAUAGCUAAGAUGAAGCAAGCUCAUACACACUGGAUGCAUAUAAGACUUUGUUCCUUCUACCCGCGCAAACUCCUAGGAUAAUUUCUAGAAGGCAAAGUGCGAGCACGCGCAGAGGAAGAUUUCUGAAAGUGAAAACGAAAGGCCACCAGUUUAUUAUUCUAUUUGCAUCGAUUAUAUUUGUUCCUAAGCCUAUUUUACUUCUAAAUGAAGAAAUAGUGACUCCUUAUAGCCAAUGGGAAUAAUAGGCCGGUUGUUAAGGCCACUAGGGAGCAUGCGUCGAGGAGCGCUAGAAGUCAACUACUGAGAAAUUAUAUGAUAAUAAUAUUGGAUGAUUUAAGCGGUCAAAGUAACAAAAGAGAUGAUUUUAUUUGGGGUGUUAGCUCCACACAAAGUUCAAUUGGACUCAAUUGCCAUUUGGUCUCCCGCCGUUCGCGGAAAUAAUUGUAAGCUUUUAUCGUAAAUAAAGUAUAAUUCGAAAGGUGGCAAUUAUUUACACAGGAGAUGAAAAAAUCCACAACCCUCACAUUAAUCUUGUGAUGCAAUUAUUUCAUCCAUUACAUAAGCGGUAAAAUGAGUCUACGCAAUUAUGCCAAAAUACACAUGUACAUUUUUCAACAAUUUAUUUUUAUACAUGAGUUCACAGGUUGUUAUAGGUUUGUUAUGUUUAAAAAGAAAAAGAAAGGCGAUUGACUUGAUUCAGUUAAAAAUGAUCUUAUCACAAUUAGCUACAUUUUAGGUGGCUAAACAUUCAACAAGGCAAAAUGCCAAAUAAAGCACCUUUGACUUCAGCUAUUUCUCUCUUCAUAAUCAAAUUCAUCUCGCAGAUUUCUUUGCCCAGCUUCACAAAAUUGCCCCCUCAAUUGACAUUGCGUCUUCAUUUAUUUCUGCUUCCAUUAUGGAAUCCGUCCGGUAAAGCUGAGAAAUUUACAUGAGCAUACACCAAAGAAUUAAUUCUUCAAAAAGCAAACGCGACGUCAUUAUCAACAAAGCUUGACUUGAAUUACCACAACUACCAAUUUCACAGCCCUUUUCAUCAUCAUAGGAUGUCUAAAGAAAAAUAACAGAUAUAUGGAGCAUCAACUCAUGUAUCAAACACCGUUUGUUCAGCGAAAAAUGAAUAAUUUAAAAAAUAUAUUUUUAAAAAUAAUCACUUACAAAAAUGAACGAACGAAAUAUAUAUUUCCCUUGUCCAUCAAAAUAUUAAAACAUAAAUUGUUAUCGAUAACAAAAAUAUUUUCCAUUUACUAAUUAUUUCAAGCGAAUUAAGCUAUUCUUUGCUUCAAAUAUUUUGGAAUAUUUUAUUCAUUCUCCUCCGGAAAUUCCUCAUAUAACACGUCAUACAAAUAUGUUGGUUUUUUUUUUUUUUUUGGGCCUCUCCUCCUUUUGCUCCCCCAAUCUAAGGUAAUACACCAAGGCGAUUGUAUAAUUUGACAUCAAAUAGUUGAUGUGUUAUAGAACAAUUGAUAUAUUUUAGUUUAUUUGGGCAAAUUACUUUAUCUAGUCGACUCAUAACAGGGUAAUCUUUGUGUGAUUAGACCUCACUAAAUUUGUUAACAGACUUAAGGUUUCAGCUUUAACUUGCAUACUUUCCACGGAUGAUAGAAAUAGUGAUUUAAGUGACGAAGUCCUUCAAUUUAAUUUCUCCUAGUGCAUUGACUACCAAUGACAUCUAUAGUACUUAUGUUGACCAGUCAAGAGAAAUGGACUACUAUUCCAAAUUAUAAAAGACCAAUUCGAUCAAAUCAGUUAAAAAGUGGUCUCUCCAAUUCACGUUGCCUCGUUCUUGGGAAGUCUUGAGUUUGAUCCUCGUAACAACUUGAUGACGCAACGGAGAGAGAUCUCUCAACUUUCGCUGCGUUCGCCUGGAAGUCACCUGCGGCCUUCCUUCACAAGUGAAAAAACCAUUCACAUCGACAAAAUAAUUGCUUCGAAGAGGAAACACGGAAGGAGAGAGAGAGAGAGAGAGAGAGAGAGAGAGAGAGCUGUGCAUCAGUUUUCACCUUCAAGCAAUGAGUGGGGAGUGGAGGACCAUCGCUUCCAAUCUCGCCAAGCCCAGAUCCGGCCUCGUCGGCUUCGGGCGACCUCAGAUCUGGUGUUGCCCACGGCCGCGAAUAGACGGAGCGAGGCUGCCUCGAGGAGAGAGAGUCGGGGACAGAGAUGGUGGCUUGGCCGAGACGGGACGCGAAACGAUCGGCGCAGGCGAUGGCCGGGGGCGGCUCGACGAUGACGAUGACAGUGACGAAGAGGUGGCGGAGGCUUGCGGUGACCGAUUGGUGGAGGGAAGAGACUGAGGGAAGAGUAGGAGAUUUUUCAGAGUCCAGAUAUUUUUUUAAGGAAAUCCGUCAAAAAAGUGAGGGCAGUUGGGUCAUUUAGGAGGGUAACCGCACCAUGUACACGCGGCAGGUGAACAGAUUUACCAGAGUCGCGUGUUUGGAGUGCUUUGCAAUAAGAAAGGAUUAAAACUAAAACUAGGUACUUUUGCCCAAGCUUUAUGCGGUAUCAUAAUAAAUGUACUUUAAAUAUGUUUUUUUUCAUUUUUAUUUUUGUUAAUGUCAAUAAGUUCGAAUUGUGUAUAACACUCUGUUUGUUAUCCAUUAGGUAUAAAAUUACCAAGUAAAACCAUUUAUCAAAUCAAACAUGGAAAAUACACAUGAAAGUUUUAAGUCAAAUUUAACUUUUCAUAAAGGUAUAAUAAUAAAAUUUAAAAAAUUGAAUAUUGCUACUCUCUAUACUAAUUGAGAUGCUUUUGCUAGUGCAUUUUCAGUUAGACAUUCAUAAGAUUAUAAUAACAUAAGAUGAUUUAUCCAGUACGAUUCAUAAAAGAGAUGAUUUCAAUUGGCCGAUUAGGUCCACUCAAAUUUGGCGUGACCACAAAGGAAGCAUAAUUGAUUAACCCCUUUGAUCUUUUUGUCUAUUUUGUUUUUGGAAUGAGGAAUCUCUUCCUUUAUUUCUAGGCAAGAAGAAACAGAUUUCAAUUGCUUUUGUUAUGCUAAUUAAAUUAAAAAAUGUUUAACUUUUCUCAGUUGGAAACAAACUUCCAUUUUGCUAAGCCAAACAAAGUAUAUCUUCUUACAUUCGAUCUAGAUUCGUGCUAAUUGGCAUGAUCAAUUAAUUCUUGCUUUCAUUCCACCUACUAGCAUGAUGUAUCAGUAAAAAGCCAAUUUUUUGUGCUUCGUGUUGGCACAGUCUUAAAUAUUUCAAUUAGAAUUUUAUUCAUGAACAGAAAGAAAAUCAAGCUCAUUUAUACUCUGCUUAAGAGGCUCGGGAUAUUAAUCAAUUUUUUUUUUUUUUUGGCCAGAAGGUUUCUCUUAUUUUGUUCAGUUAGAUGUUGGACGUAUUGGACAACUUAGUAUAUAUUUUCCACUUGCCAUCACUUUGUUAUUGUGUGCCACUUGCCUGGAAGUUACCUGGGGCCUUCCUUCAUCAGUUAAUUAAAAAAAAAAACACCAUUCAGACUCAGCACCAAAUAGAAAGCUAAGUUUGAGGAAAUAAUUGGUGUAAGUCUUCGAAGACGAAGAGGUCGUCUCGGAAUUAUAUUAUAUGAUUGCAUCUUCUUUGAAUGUUUGGACGCAUUCCCACUCGCCAUUACUAGGAUAUUUUGUUCCAUUUGUCUGGAAGUUACCGGCGGCCUUCCUCGAUGAGUCAAAAAGACCCUUUUAGGUUCCCACCAAAUGGGCGGCUAAGGCAAAUGGUCCAAGACGAGUCCUCAAACAUCAUCGAUGUGUGAACCGAGGCUCUAUGUGAUAAUUUUCGAAUAAUUACUCUCAAAUAUUAUAAAGAAACGACAUUUAGAUAAUACCGACUCCAUUUUCUUGUUUGAAAAAUUUGACAUCCAUUGAUUGAAUUUCUGAAUGUUGACUUACGAUAUGAAAUUUGAUGAUUGCACAUCUUUGCAUUGUGAACGAAAUAUUACCUUUGAAUCAAGCAUUUCAUGAAUCACCAAGAGAGUUUAGCCUAUGGCUAGGCAGACACAUGUAACCUCAUUAUGAGGUGGUGCUUACAUUUCGUAUUGGCUCUCUCGAACUCUAUCCAAAAAAAUCCACGGAGUUAUGCCUAAGUCUUGAAGGGAAAAAUUGUCUUAACCUGAUAACUCUUAUUAUUGGGACAAGGAUUUUGAUAUUUUAAUUUGAUUGUAUGGAAGGGGGACAGUUAAAGAACCUUAUAUUCUGAACCCUAUGAGCUUAGCAGCAUACUGGAAAAGUAGUUGAGUGGUAUGCUUUGGAAAACAUAUCUUAAGAGACCAGCGAAUAUGCUUUGCUAUCUUGUAGUGUUACAAUUUAGACAUAAAUCAUAAGAUCCCAACCAUAGGUGAGGGUCCCGGCCUUCAUUGCCUCAGGCAAGGAGUGCCCUUGCCUAGAUUUAGUCACCUUGCAAUUUUAGUUGGCCAACCUACCUAGAAGUUCCCACACUUUAAAUUGACUUAAUUAUUCAAAAAAUUAGAAGACAUUGGUUAAAGUUUUCUAUAUUCUUUUAUUUCAAGUCCAUGCUCAUUUUAAUCUUUCACGCAAUUUGAGUUUUGCUUAGCAAACUAGGUGUACUAAAUAGAUCACUUUCACUGAGCAAAAGAGUCCUCACCAAACUUUAGCUGAUUCUUGAUGGAAAUUGUGAAGAUAAUGCGGUUCCUCCUUGACAAUGAUGCCAGCGAAGUUGAGAUUUUUGAAACAUUUUAUUCUCAAAUGAGUGUCUUUAUGCUUUUUUUUUUUUUUUCAUGAUAUUGACCCAUGUUUCCCGGUAUUUUCAGUGGGCCAAACAUGUUGUGCUAGUCUUGUGGGUGAGUCGCCAAGUCUAUUUGAUGUGCAAUUUGGCCAUGUGCAAACAAACGCAUGCUAAGCGAAUUGACUAGAUAAACGUACUUUAGUGCUUUUUCUUUGCCUUCACAAGCGGGUCGGACAAAGACUUGACGAUAAACUUGUCUUUGUUCUAAGCAAAGACAAAAGGCCAUAGAUUUGUUUCUAAUUCAAACUAUGCAAUUCAAUCAUGGUGUGAAUCAAGGGAACAUAAUGGAGAUGCUUUUCUUAUUGCAUUAUUAUUUAGACAUACAUUGGAUUAUAAUAACAUUAGAUGAUUUAUGCAGUAUGAUUCAUAAAAGAGAUGAUUUUAAUUGGUUUGUUAGGUCCACUCAAAUUUGGUGUGACCACAAAGGAAGCAUAAUAAAUCCCCCUUAUUCCUUUUUGUCUAUUUUGUUUUCUGGAAUAAGGAAUUUCUUCCUUUAUUUCUAGGCUAGAAAAAGCAUAUUUCAAUUGCUUUUGUUGUGCUCAUUAAAUUAAAAAAUGAUUAGCUUUUCUCAGCUGGAGCCAAACUUCCAUUCUGCUUUCCUUAAACCAAACAAAUUUUAAUCUAUCAACGAGAAUGUUAUUCAUGACCGAAAAAAAGAAAAAAAAAAAAAGAGAGAGAGAGAUCGAGCUCAUUAAUACUUUAUUUGAGAGACUCGCCAUAUUAAUGAACUUUCUAUUAUUUUGUUCAAUUAAAUAUUUGAUAGUUACGGAAAAAUAAAGGGCAAGAUAUUUAAAAAUUUGUAAUAUACAUAUAUAAUUAAACAAAUGCAAAGGAUAAUAUUUGAAUAUAUUGAGCUCAAGCUUGAACUCAUUUUAUAACAUGAUUGUAUCGAGUCUACUUGAGCUUGAUAUCUCGAUUUUUUCUGGUCAAGCUCAAGCUGGAAAUUGAAUACUCAUAAUCGGGUCUUCUUUUUAUGGAAGAAAAAUCUAAAAAUGAAAAAAGAAAUGGUGUUUUUAAUAUAUUUGAAAUUCCUACAAUAAAGAAAAACUAAAAAUUUGAAAUUGUUAAUUAAGAUAACGGAAUCAUACAUUGAAAUAGAAAAACUAAAAUGAAAGGAAAGUUAAUGAAUUUAGAGCCACCAACAAAAUUGCAAUUGAAUGAUUUAGAGCAAUUUUGUCUUUUUAGUGAAAAUUUGGUAAAUUUAAUUAUAUAGGGAAUGGAUUUCUCCAUCGACUUUUUGGCAUGGAUCAGGUGAGGCUUCGUAAUCACUUAUCAAGAAAAUGUAUGUAACUCAAGAAAUAAAUGCAGGCUUUUAAGGUAAGAAUGCAUAAAUUGCGGGAAUGGGAAUAAACUCUGUUGUAUGUGCUCUUUGAAGAUACAAACUUCUGAAAAAUCGGUCCUGAAUGAGCAGGCUGAAGGUGCUGGUGAAGGAGAUGUUUGUUGAAAUUUUGGAUUUUUCUAUUUUUUUUGGGGUCUUAGAGUGCUUGUGGUGAUUGGCGGGAUGAUGCUUGCAGGCUGCAGCAAUACAAGCUGGUCGAGAUGAAACUCCUAGCUCAACAGAGGGAUCUUCAGGUGUGUUGUUGAAUUCUGCUAUGUCAGUUUGGCGUAAUCGCUGGCUUUCUCUAAUUCGUAUUUUUGCUGGCAAAGGUUUCCUGACUUUAUCGAUGCUAGUUUGGGAUUUGUUAUUAUCGACAUCCCUUUAGAUGUUUGUGUAUAAUUUCUCAUCGACUGAUUCUUUUGUAUCGUUAUAUCUGCUAUUGAAUUCGCUGUUGAGUUACAUUUUGUCGUUCAUUUUCUUCAAGUGAUCACAGACAAAGAUCCAUAUUCAAAUGCACUAUUGAAUACCGUAGACACUAUCCCUCCUGUCUGCCCUUGUGCUAGCACUGGACCUUCUUUCUUUCUCUUCCUUUUCUUUGGUUUUUUCUUUUUUCAGUAUAGUAUAACCUAUGCAGUGUUGAAAUGUUGCGCAAUGGUUACCAUGGAGGUGGGCGUACGUGCAUGUGUGGGUAGACCCUUUUUUAGAACUUUGAAGCAUUUAAGUGUGCAACUUUUGUCUUGAUUCUUAAGAGGUAUAAUGACAUGAUUAGAGAUAUUGAUACCAAAGCUUUAAUCACAAUGAAUAUUUAGUUUCAGGAAAUAAGAAAUGUACUAGGUUGAGACAGACAAUUUUGUCUUUCAGAAAUUGAAAGUUCCGUCCUGUCAUGAUCUAUUUUAGAAUCGUCGGCUCAUCCUCCGAAAAUUUUUCGGAGAUUUCGAGAUUUUUACGGAAAAAUUGAUUCGGACGUUGCGAAAAAAUAGUGAAAAUUCAGAUGGGCCAAAUUAAAGGAAAUUUGGACUUCCAAGCAGAGCCUUUGAGCGUCAGAGACUUACAGAAAAUUGUUCAGGAUUUUUCUUCAACGAAAUCGGACGUCGAUUGGAGAAUUUCGGGAAGAAAUUGAAUCUAAAGUGAUGAAAUUCGGACCUUAGGAUGGGGGUGUGCAACAUUGGUACCAAUUUGGAUAAUUGUGGAUUUAUACUUCAAAAAAAGUAAUUGGGGGACUAUAAAGGAUAAACAUGAAGACUUUAUAUGCCGAAUCACGAUGAUUUAGAUAUUUUUUAUUGGACUUUUUUGUGCCCCUUUCUCUAUCCCCUUCGCACGCCUCAUCCAUCCCUUCUUCAUCGUGCGAAACCUCUCUCUUUCAUUGCAACCCACCGAACCAGCUGAUCACACUUUCCUUUCAUUUGCUUCUUUUUUUUUCUCUCUCUCUUUCAUUGCAACCCACCGAACCACCUGAUCACACUUUCCUUUCAUUUGCUUCUUCUUUUUUUUUUUUUUUUUUCUCUCUCUUUCAUUUUACUUCAAGCACCCCAUGUGAGCCAACCUUCCAACAACAAACUUUGGUUUGUUGACCGCCCCAUCAUCUUCGGUUUUGCUCCACCGAAGCAGCUCCGUGUCCCACGCGUCCGAAGCUGCCUCUUCUUCCUUCGCACGCGACUUCCCCCUUCGCAGCUUCUCUUUCUUUUUUCUGUUUCGGCUCUCUUUCACUUUUCCCUUGAAGCAGCCCCUUUCUUCGAACACUGCAGCUCCUUCCUCUGAAAUUUUGAGCCCACGUUCCUCUGCCCACCAGUGGCCGAAGCCCACCGAUCUUCUCUCUCUCGCGUUGCUGUCCCCACGCCGGUCAGCUCCAGCAAAUCUUCUCCACCUUUGUUGACCCAACAGCUCCCUUCGUGCGCCAGCUGCCAGCGCUACCAGCCUGCUUCCAUUUGCUAGUUCGUGAGUCCAGCGAAGCCGAAGCAGCCCAGCUUCCACGCCCAUGAGAUCCACCGAAUUAGCAGGCCCAUUCUGUGCAGCCAUCUGAAGCCGAAGUCCAGCCCAUGCAGUUCUUUUCUUCAUCCCAUCUCCAGCAGAAUUUCAAUCCAUGAGCUCAGGCCCAAGUUCAGCCUAAGUUUCCAGCUCACUUGAGGCCCGUGCAGUCAAGCCUGCGAUUUUGAGGUCCACUUGAAGGCCGUGAAGCAGCCCAACUUGGAUCCAGCCUAAAUCAAGAACAAAUCUCAGCUUGGGCUGAGAUUUGUUGGGCCGGUUCUAGGCCCGGUCCAAGCCCGUUGACGCCGCCGCAAACCCAAGUUUCGGCCGUCGUCGUGUCGUCAUCUCGGUGAACCGGCUUCUGCAAUAAAUCGGUGAGUUUACACAUUAAACUCUUUUUAGUAGGCUAAUAAUGUUUAAGGGGUGUCUAGAUUUAUUUAAGUGCAAUUAGUUUAAUUAUUAAGUUAAUUAGUUAAAUUAGGAUAGUUAGAUUAAGUGAUUAGGUGGUUAGAAAUUUAUAGUUAAUUAGAUUAGUGUAUUGUUAUAUAGCUAGGGUGCUUAGAAUAAUUUCUUUAGCUCAAUAGGUGGUUAAGUUAAAUUUAUUUAGCCUAAGUUAGAAUUUUAGUAUUUAAUGCAUUUAUUUAAUAAAUUUUAGAAAUUAUUUAAUUAUUAAAUAUUUUCCGGAAAUUAAGCCGGGGUAGCCGGUGACCGAAAUUUCGUGCUAAUUGCAAUGGUGUGGUUAAUUUCUGCAAUCGAGUGUUAAAUUGUGAAAUUUGAGUGUUGAUUGAAAAUUUGAUCAAUUAUUCUAAAAUUGGUGAAUUUUGACAUUUAUCUAGAAAAUCCUGGGUGUCGGGUUUUAAACACCAAAAAUGGUUUUAUAUACUAUAUAAACUAGUAGGAUUUUUUUUUUUUUAAAUAGGGUUAUGAAUUUUCCGAGUCCAAUCUGACCGUGUACUCACACAUGACUAUUUUCAUCAGGUGUUUUUAAUACGAAGGAAAUAGGCCAGAAUCACUAUUUUAAUUGAGGCAUUUGAGUGCAAUGCACGGUGUCCUGGGCCGAGAUUAAGUGGUUGUGUGUUGGUUAAGAGAACCCGUCCCCGAACUGUGUUGGAUGGAUGUUACAUUAUAUGGGAUACCCAUUUAUUGGAUUUUGGGGUGUAGUAGAGGCUAGAUCUAUACUCCUUCGGGAAAGUAGUCUUUGAGAGACAUAAUCGUGCUCAAUGGGGUGAGACGAUGCCUGGCUACGCUAGUAGACCGCCAAACUUCUACUAGGCCAUACCCUAGAGUGGGCGAAAUUAUCAAUUGGAACGCAUGUUGAGUGGAGUAGAUGCGCCGAAUUAUGGGACAAAAUUAUGUGACAUAGUAUGGGACGUGUCAUAAUAAUUUAGCCCUAUAAUCUGGACCCCUGUGAUUUAUUGAGUUGAGUAAUGCGUUUCAAUUGUUGUGUGCAUUGAUUUUAUGCAUAAUGUGUAUAAACUGUGCUGACCUGCAGGGUGAAACUGAGGCGAGGUAAGUCCUCUAUGCUAAAUGCGUGAUUGAGUGGUUAGGACACCUUUAGGUGUAUUUCCCUCCUAAUCGGGGUAUAGAGUGUGAACUCGCUAAGAUUUAUAUCUCACCCCGUCGUGGGUUAAAUUUUCAGAGUCGUCGAGUGGAAGACCUGAAGCCGAGAGGAGGUGAUUAGAAGUGUAGGUUACUUAGGACUGUUUCUUUUUUGGAAAGCUAGUCUGUGUAGUCUUUUGGUCAUAGACCUUGUACAUGACUCAAUGUGUAUAUAAAAGUGUGUUUUGUUUGUGAAAUUGUUGUCCUGCUUUUUUAUCAGGGGAUUUAUUUUCGCUUCCACAUAUAUAAUCAAACGAAAAGGGUCGGCGACUCAUCUAGGAAGUCGCAAAAUUUUAUCGACCAAAGAGGGAUGGGCAUGCGCUCGGGGUUCGGGGCGUGACAAAUUCGAUUCUAUUUUCAAUUUAGAAUAUGUGGAUUUUUUUUUUUUUUUUAUAUUCAGUACCAUAUCUCCAAAGGACAUUUUAAUUCGAUCUCAAUUGUUGAGUUAAACCUCAAGACCAUCUCAACUUGUUCAUUGUAUAAAAAUUCCUAUGUGACAUCUAAGAUUGAAAGAAACCCCAUUAGAAUAAGUCAAUUUUGGAUGGUUGAUCGUCAAGACUAAAAAGCAUCUAGCAUCGAUUCUUUAUCCCAUGCUCACAAUCACAUUACAUCUAUUGCUUGCUAUUAAAUGCUUGUUUUGUAGAAAAGAAAAAAGAAAGGGUAAAAGUCAUCAAAAAUCCUAAAUUAUAUUUACUGUGAUACAUUUACUCUAAUUUUUUUUUUGUGACACUAGGAACCUAAACUUGUAUCUAUAUAACACAUUUAUCUCAAAUUUGUACAGUGAGACACAUUUAUCCAAAACUUCUUUUUGUGAUACCAAAAAUCCUAAAUUUGUAUUCGUGUGACAUGUUCACCCUUAAAAUUUGGCAUCGAUUUUAAUGUUACAAAAAACAAUCUAGGAUAAAUAUGUCGCACAGAUAUAAGUUUGGGAUUUUUAGUGUUGCAAAAAAAAUUUGUGGUAAAUGUAUCACACGGGUAAAGUUUGGGAUUUUUUUUUGACUUUUUACCUUUUAUUUCUUUUUUUUCUUCUCUAUAUGGGCUAAAGAACGUAGAUCUUUAUACGUUGACAAGCAAUGAUUCACCUUUUCUCUCACCACGAUGAAAAAGAUUUCUUUUUGUCACGCCCUAAAUCUUGAGUGUGCGCACAUCCCUCGGUGAUCGAUAAAAUUACAACGUCCCGGGACGUGUCGCUGACCCAUUUAUUUUAUUGUACAUGCGGGAGCGAAUAAACAAAUCCUCAUACAACACAAAUAUGGGAUAGAAGAGCAGGACCACAAUUUCACCAAAAAGCAAAUUUUCAUAAACAAACUAGUCUGUCUACAAAAAGAUCGGCUUUAAAAAAGAAGCUGUCCUACGAACUACUAGUCAGACACAUUUGCCGAUCCUUCGGACUCCACCUCCACAGCUUCGGGGGCUUCGGGUCCUCCACAACCCCAUCAAGAGGGUCAGUUGCACCCUUGCCUGGAGCGGCGUUGACCGCAAUGACAGGGAUAUCAAAACCCUAAAGGGGACCUUUCCUAUAUCCAUUGAGCCCAUGGCGAAACCACACCCUGAAUCGAUGAGGUACCCUUUGAGGUAAGCCCUCAUCAACCCAGAUAGUGGUCACAACAAACUCAUGGAUCCAGUGACUCUCGGGGAUAGGGACAUCUAUACUCCACUCAAUAACCCCCCGAGGCUAUCUAAAAGAACCACGACCAGGGUGAGACAACGUCUCAGCAAGUCUACUCCCUAAACCCGAAUUUAGAAAGAAAAUACUCCUAGAGGUAAUCUAACCACACAUCACAGAAGACUUACCUCGCCUCAAUUCCUUCCUGCACGUUAGUACAGUUCAUAUCACAAAUAAUUGCAUUAAAAGCACUCAUCAAUCGGGAUGUCUCAACUUAUAACCCGAACAAUUACAAGGGUCUCGAUUAUAAAGCCAAAUCAUUAUGACACGUCCCAUUCUGUGCCACACAAUUUUGUCUCAUAAUCAAUUGCGUCAAUUUCAAUCAAUCAUGUGUCCCAAUUGAUUACGACCCAAUGGCCACGGUCGACUCAACAAUCAACAGUCCUUCGGCGUAGCUGGGCGUCGUCCGGCACCAUCGAGCACGGCAACGUCUAUAUCUAGACAACAUUCCAUAUAGGAGCAUUGGCCUAGCCACCAUUGCGAUUGGCAUUAGUUGACUUGGGGCAUUCCCGAAGGAGCAUUUUCUAGCCCCAAAGGCUCGUGACGGGUUCUCAUAUCAUUCAUGCACCCAUCCAAUCCCGGCCAAGACAUAGUGCUUUGCACUCAAAUGUCCCAAUUAAAAUAAUGUAUUUGGCCCAUUUUCUUCGUAUUAAAAACACACGGUAAAAUAAUCGUAUGUGGGUACAUGGUCAAUUUAAACAAGAAAAAUUAAUAUCCUUCCUUUUAAAAUCCCACUUUUUGAUAUAGUCUUUAAAAACAUUUUAGGUGUCAAAACCCGACACUCGGUAUUUUCUAAUUAGAUACCAAAAUUUCAUAAUUUUAAAAUAAAUACUCAAAAUCACAAUCAUCACUCAAUUUGCACAAAUUAACAAUUAAUUGCAUAAACUAAGCACACCAUUACAAUCAGCACGAAAUUCCGGUCACCGACUAUCCUAGGAUAAUUUCCGGAAUAUUAUUAAAUAAUUAAAUAAAUGCAAUUUAAUCCAAUUAAUGCAAACCUAGGUUGGAAACGCUAAUUUAACCACCUAAACGGGCCUAGAAAAUUAAUGCACUUCUCUACAUAAAUAGUACAAUCUAUUUAGCCCUUAGUCAAUCUAUUCUAACCACCUAACCAUCAUAAUUAAGAAAAUUAAAUUAUUAAUAAAAACUAACUAACCACCUAAGCCAUACUUAGCCUAAUCUAAUUACAUAUUAAACAUCAUUAACUCCCUAAGCAUAGUUUAGCAAGUAAACUCACCGGAUUAGCGAAUUAGUGAGUCCAAGUCGAUGAUGAUGUAGAGGCGGGCGACACACAAGCUUGCAGUGACACCGAGUGAGGUCCGGAAGAGACCUAAAACGGGCCACGAAGCCCAACAGCCACUGCUGGCCUUCGGUUCUGUCUAAGGACCAAAGGGGCUGGGCCAAGCGACUGGAUGGGCUGGAACAGCCAAAGCGAGACGGCGGCGACUGCUGUAACAUCUUGAAAUUUUCAGUUAUACUUUCAAUUAAAUUAAUCGUGCCUUUCAUCAACGUGCCUAUAGUGCUAUUCUCAGAGUUGAUCACUUCUGAGAUAAUUUGACUAUCUGGGGAAGUCAUUAAGGGAUUUUAAUGCAUUAGACUUAAAAAUUUGACUAGAAAUCGGCUAUUUGAUCGUAUUCAUUAACAGAGAUCAUUACGGCAUAGUUAAAAGUCAAUUAGAGAUCAGAGAUAGGUUGGUUCAACAGAGAUUUGUGGCUAAACAUGGGUGAUUCCACUUAAUUAUAAAAUUCUCGUCGACUGACACUAAACUGAUUUUUCUGUCGUUUUGGUACCAUGUGUCCAUAUUCGAAACCUCGAGAUUUUCAUAACCACCGAGAGCCACCAAUAUGUCGAAGAGGUUCAUUAUGACUUCAAGAAAAUCGACAGCGGGUUAUUUGCACUAAAAAUUCCUGAAAACUAUCCAAUAACCUAGGUCACGCUAAAAUCGCGACAUAUUGAAAUUAACCGCGAAUUUGAAUCUGAUUUCAUAAAUUGAAAGUUCUUUCAUGUCACAAUUCAUUUUAGGAACGUCGACUCAGUCUCCAAAUAUUUUUCUGCAAACCGAGAUUUUGGCGGAAAAAAUCGAUAUAGGGCCGUUUUCGACCGAAAAAUGUGGAGGACUAUUUUUUUAUCGCAAAAGUGGGAUGCAAGUAGGAUCUAUUGGUGAGGAAAAAUGCCAAGUUGAUCGAGAACUCAACGGUUGAAUUUUUAGAAGCCAAAUGGAGUUGAUUCAAAGAGGAAUUGAAGUCCAAUUUGGGGAAAUUCCAAUCAAAAUUCAUAGCUCCCCCUUGGACCCAAUAUUUGGACCACUCCAAGGCUUCUAGAGGAAGAGUUGGCUGCUAGAAAUUGUAGAGGAAUCCAGCUGGGCAUUGGUGGGACACACCAAGGGGACAAAGAGAUGAGAGAGAGGCCAAUGUGGCCCCCCUUGUAGCUGUCGAUUCCCCUCCUUCUCCUUUCUUCAGUCGAGCCUCCAUUUCCAGCAGCUAGAAGACUUCAAAAUUUCUAGCAAAACCAGAGAAACUGCAGCCCCUUCCCCCUUGACCGUUCGAGCAAUCCGCCGGAGCCCAGAGCCACUGUCGCGCCAUUCGGCCGUCCGCCUAGCCACCGCAUGCCAGCCUCACGCCCGCACGUCUCUUGCUGUCAUCCCUGCCCGUUCGCACUUCUAGCAGCUCACCAGGCCAGGUCGGGCCACCGUUGGAGCUUCCAACACCGCUAUACGCCACCGCCUUCGCCCGUCCAAGCCGCAGCAGCCUCAUCGUGCCCGUUUCUAGCUCAACCGACCACUGGAGUAGUCUUCUCGGCCCUUGACCAGAACCGGAGCUAGUGGAUUUCCAGCCUACUGUUUGGCCCGUUUUCGAGCCUUUCCCAGCCCCGCUUGGUGGUCCCGCUUUAGAGUUUGUUGAUCCUCUCUGCGUCCCUGUCAUUGUGGUUCAAGCGGAUUGUUAAUCAAGUGAGUUUAACUCACUAAUCCCUACUUAGUAAGUUAAUGACGUUUAAGGGUUGAUUAAUUUAGACUAAGUAUGGAUUAUGUGGAUAGUUAGAAUAGAUUAGUGAAUUAAUUUAUUGUUAUUGUAUAUUAGGUGGUUAAAGUAUUGUAAUUAGAGCCUAGACAAGCUCUAGUAUUUAUCUAGAGUAGUUUAUAAAUUUUCCGGGCCCUUCUCGGCUUUUAUUUAGGCUUUUCUAGCUUAAGUGGUAUUUAUUGGUAUUUAAUAAUUAAUUUUCAUAAUUAUUUAAUUAAUUAUUAUUUUUCGGAAAGUAGACCGGGAUAGCCGGUGACCGGAAUUUUGUACUGAUUGUAAUGGUGUGAUUUUUUUAUUUAAUUGACUACUAAUUUGUGCAAUUGAGUGUGAUUUGUGAUUUUGGGUAUUUAUCCCAAAUUUUAUUUAAUUUAAGCAAUUAAUUAGAAAAUCACCGGGCGUCGGUUUACAACGCGAAAAAUGAAUUUGAGGACUAUUGAAAUUAGUGGGAUUUUCAAGGAGGAAAAUAUUAUAUUUUGGCUAACGCUGACUGUGUACUCACACACGAUUCUUUUUAUCGGAAAUGAUAAAAAUGGUGAAAUGGUUAGAUGAUUAGAAUGGUAUACUAUAUCAGCUUGCGGGCUCGAUAUGUCAGUUUAGAGUGAGCAGUAUAUCGAUAUAUUAUAUCAGCUUGCGGACCUCGAUAUGUCAACUUAGAGGGAGCAGUGUACCUUAACAGCUUCUGAUGAGCAUUAUUAGUAUACUAUAUCAGCCUGUGGGCCUUGAUAUAUCAACUUAGAGCGAGCAAUAUAUUAUUUAUCAGCUUAGAGUGAGCUAUACUAUCUAUUUAUUAGCUUCGAGUGAGCAGUCCUGGUUAUGAUCGAACUUUAUAGAUAGUAUUGAUUGAGAUGACCGGGGAAUAGUCUUGAUGAUAUGAAAUCGGCUGAGUCAAUUGAUCGAUUGUUCAAUAUGAGUGGAUGAAUUAUUGGUUGAAAUGAUUGAAUGGUUAUUUGAAUUGUACUAACUUGUAGGAAGAAAUUGAGGCAAAGGUAAGUCCUUUGACCCGUGCUUGUGCUUACACAGCCCUAAGGGCGUAUGUUCUUCCUAGUCGGGUCUUAGGGGGUGAACUCGCUGAGACGUCGUCUCACCCCAUUGUGGGAUAACCCUUCAGGUCCAUAGAUGGUAGCUUCUCCCGAGCAUUAACUUCCAGUAAACUCUACUAGUCAUAGGGGCCAUUGGGUAUUAGAGCUUUGGUUCAAUGGCUCCUCCUAUAGGUGGUAAGGUAGGGUGGGUGGUACCGCUCAGAUUGCGGCCAAUCUUCCUAACCGCGUAACUUUAUGUUUAACUGGUAUUGACUAUAACUGCUAUUGAUCUCCCACUACACAGUCAGUAAUAGAAGAAGGAGCAAAGAGUCUACUAUACCUUGGCCCCUCCUUCUCUAAUCUUUAGAUAAUUCUCAUGGAAUGUCUCCAGAAUGAUCACCCGUGUUGACACCAUUAACAGAGUCUACAUUCUAACCAGAAAAUCUUGGAAUAGGUGGUUCUCUCUCCAACUUGCUGGGGUGACGAAUUAUCCUCGUUGGCCGAGGAACGACUCUUCUAAUUUCUUGUUUUUGCCAUUAACACUUCCUAUGAAUGGAACACAACGGUCUCAUUGGGUGUGCCAAAAAGAUGUUUGUCGAGGGAAGUUCCCUCAACAAAAUCUUUCAUCAAAGGGGCAAAGUUUCGACUUUAUUAUUUAAAAUGGAUUAUGUGUCACUCAGGAAAGGAAGCAACCGAUCUAAAUUACAGGCAAACAUAGAUGCAGGAAAAAAAAAGGAGAAAAAAUAAAACUACGAUUCAAAUUAAAAGUGCGAUCAAAGAAAUAGAGCGAUUGAAAAGUAGAUGAUCAAUUGUUGAUUUGGGAAAUUGACCUUUCUAUUGAUGCCUCUUCGGCUAUUUAUAGUGGCGAUUUAUGGGUAACUACUCUUUAGUGGUUAUCAUUUCAAUAUUCAAAAUGUUUCAGAAGCUUUGGCUCCUUAUCGAUAAUUACUCUGCCUUAUCGAUAUUUUCGUUGGUACCGAUUCCCGUAACUACUUCCUUUCUUGUCUCGCUUGCCUUGGCAAGUUCUAAUGUCACACUGUUCGAAAUCUUCGUUGUUGACUAUUGGCGUUUUGGCCCACUACCCAUGAAUUCUUGUGUGCUAGGCCUGCUUUACUCUCUUCUAUUUCCAAAGCCCAACAAGCAAAUUUUGGAUGCCAACAGAAGCACACGCAAGAAUAUGAGAGGAAGUCGUGGAUCUUUCAAAUUUAUGUCCCCUGAAUGUGACUAAUUGACCAAGAUCUAUAAAAAAAUAUAAGGUAGUUUGAUUAAGCUAAUUAUGAGUGAAAAUAGUACUUCAGCAAACAAAAGGUAAGGUUAGUACAUUAAGCCGUUGAAUGCCUAAGCAUAACACAACUCUUAGCCAGAAAUAGUUCGACUGGUAAUAAUUAUUGCUCAUAUAGAUUCCCAACCAUUACACUUGAAGACAUUCAGCAUGAAUAGUUGAUUGCAUUCUGGAACUCUGCAUAAACAGAUGAACAAAGGUAAGAUUAUUGCUGGAGAAGUAGAAUUUCAACUUUAAUAAUGGGAAUGCUUGAAAUUGCAAUUAUAACCAUUGACAUCAAAAGUGGAGUAAAGUUGGCAGUGAUCUUUGAUUGUGCAUCAUCAGAUAGUCCCUGCUCAAUCUUCAAAACUACAAGAAACAAAGGUGAUACAAAAAGGAGAAAUCUAGGUUAUUGCAUUUGCCUUAAUUAAUUCAGUAAAAAGUUGAGUUAUCAAAUUCCCAAACUGAGCUUAAAACAACAAAGGAAAAAGAAAAGGACUUGUCAUCCGCAUAACAAAUAAGAAUUCAAGAAUAUAAAUGCCUUAUUGGGCAAAUUGAAAUAUCUUCCCUAAUUGUAAUUUAAGAUGAGCAGGAACGAACCAAUAGCAAACAAAUAGAGAAGAAAAUUGUAGUUUCACUCUCUUUUGGAGGUGAACAUUAAAGAGAAUUGAUGUAGAGAAAAAUUGAGUUAAUUGAUUGUUCAAAAUACCUCUUGUCAAACCUAAUUUUGUAUGUUGACCAAAAAAAUAAUAAUUUUGUCUAGUGUACCUAACAUUACUUAAAUAUUUUUAUGGAUCAAAGGGACUAAUUAUAUUCAUUCCUUUUCUCACCAUGAUAACCCAUGAGAAGUUUCCAUAUUGACAAUUUCAUGAACUGAGCAAAGCAGGUGAGUCACCUAAAUCUUUUAAUUAAGCAAAGUCUUAAUAAACAAAUGAUACAUACCUCAUCCAUCUUUGUUGAACCUCGGGCAAUAACUUACAGUGAGUUCGCAAGAUUUUGGCACUCCCAACAUUCUCUUCAAUGAUUCACAUUGAUUGAAAUCCAAUCUUUUUAGAUUUUGUAAAUUAGAUAGAUCAAAUUCGUUUAAGCUUUUGAUGGAAUUACAGUUCCAAAUCCAUAGCGUCCGCAAUGAUUUCAAUUCUCCCAAACCCUGAAUCUCAAUUAGGUGAGGGAAUUGGCGCAGGUACAAAUGCUGGAUCUUCUUCAAACAAGGCAAAAUGGGCAGAGUCUUAAGUAAUGGACAAUCGAAUAUCAUCAAUUCAUUGAAAUUUUGUAGUUUUCCAAACCCAUCAAAACGAAUCUCACCAAGCCAAUAUCUUUCAAUAAUCAGUCUUGACAAAUUCUCCAAGUUGGAAAAGAGCGACCAAUCUAUUGGUGAUUGGACAUCGACUAAAGUCAACCGUUGAAGGCUAGAUGGAAGCCUGAUAAGAGAUUGAGGGUUGGCAUAACUUACGGAGAGUUCUUGUAACUGAGAGAGGGAACUCAAAUCAGUUGGAGGCAAGGUCAUUUUUCCAACCCACAGGGUCAACUUUCUUAGAGCACUUGCUCUCAAAAGCCCCUCUAUGUUGGGUUCUUAUACUGUUGUUCCGAUUAUAUCAAGAUGAACUAAAUUGGUUAGAUUGGAGAAGUCAGGGAUUGUAGUCAAUGAGUCCAAUGAAAAGCUUAACGACUUUAGACUCUUAGGAAGCUCUGGCAACUGUUGAAUUGACCUACAGUCCCAUAAAUUAAUUUUUUGGAGAUUUGUAAGCCGAUUGAUGGUUGUUGGCAAUCCACUAAAACAGCCACCUGAUAAAUCUAGAAUUUUCAAUGAGGAUAGUGCCCCAAUUUCACUUGGAAUUUCCCCCUCCAAGUGUUCACAUGAGGCACUCAACUCUUCCAAAUUUUCCACUGUUCCUAUAGUUUUCGGAAGUUCACUUAUGCGGCUAUGAUCUAGAUUUAGUGCCUUCAACUUUUUGAGAUUUCCAAUACAAUCAGGUAAGCUCCUGAUGUGUGAAAGACUCAAAUCCAACUUGACCAAUGAUUGGAGCCUCCCAAAUGAGUUUGGUAGCUUUUUUAAAUAGCCAUUUGGGAUCAUAAAAAUUUCCAACCUUCCUAAGUUCCUAAUGGAAUAAGGUAAUUCACUCACACUUGUAUGUCUGACAUUCAACUCAAGUAGUGAUUCCAAUUGUCCAAUAGAAUCAGGGAGUUUUUGCAAUUCCCAACAUGACAAGAUUAGAUGCUUCACAUUCACUAAAUUACCAAUUGAGUAAGGCAACACUGAAAGUUCUUGAGAAAAUAUUUCUAAGUAAUCAAGAUGUUGUAAAACACCGAUGGACUUGUCGAUCUUUCCAAGUUGAUUGCAUCUAAGGAUUAAUCUCUCUAACUUGGAGAUUGUGGAGAACUUUGGUGUCUUUCUAAGUAAUGGACAAUCCAGGAGUUUUAGGACUUUCAACUGUUUUGCUACCUAUAAAACAAUUAAGCUGAAAUUAGAAAAGAAAAAAGAGUAAAUGUAAUGCAAAAAUAUGUCAUGAGAUCAUACCAUGAUUUGACGCCAUCCUCCCCAGUCUUUAGUAAUAUUAAUCCCAGAAAGCUCAAGAACUGCUAGGUUCUCCAACCCAAAGUUGGCAGCAAGGAAUUUCGAUGGGCAAUUGUGCCAAGAGAGCCAUCUUAACUCGGAGAAAUGAUCCUUAAAGUCUCCUUGGAAGUUUCCAUGGUCCAAUUGAAGGAAUCUAAGAUUGUCCAUCCUUGCAAAUUCCUUGUGUUUAAAUCUAUACGUUGCAUCCGGUUCAGGUGUACCGAGAUUAAGUGCCACUAUGUUCUUAGUUCCCUAGAAGAUAAAAGUAGCAACCAAUGAGUACAUGUGUCAAUUUGAGUUGACGUUAGAUCUAAAAGGUAAUGAUAUUGAUGGAUGGAGUGGAAAACAUUUAGAGGUAAAACUUACCUUUUUUCUUUGCACCAAAUGGAAGGCAUCCUUGGGUAACCAUAGUCUACUACCCCUUAAACAUAUGUUGCAACUUUCCCGGUGGACAAUAUCUUGCCCGAGGUCUCUAAGUUGGUCAUGCAUCCACAAUUCAUCGUAGUCUAUGAUCUUUAUCAGAGACAUACGUGUGAGGAUAUUGACUUCGAUUUCGGUGGGAUACCCAAAAACCGCAUCCCAAUAUUUAAUUGCAGUUGUUUUCUCUUGAUUAAUGAAGAAACAUGCAAUAUCAAGAUAUAUUUGUUGCUGAUUAGGGUCCAAUGCUUCAUAGCUUAUCAUCAACUUCUUCUUGACAUCCUCGUUCAUCACCUUCUUUAACUUAGAUAGAACAUUUUUCCAUGUACUUUGGCAUUUUCCACAGAGUGUGGAACCUACGACGUCAAGAGCCAAUGGAAGUCUUCCAAGUGCAUUGAUUACCUUUUCUGAAAUAUCGAUGUAAUCAACCGGAGGCUUGGCACAUCCCAAGGCACACUCACAAAAAAGUUGAAGAGCAUCAUCCCAAUUCAUCUCUGGCAUAGUAUAGAAUGAAAAAUGUGUAGUAUCUAAGAUUGGGGCAUUGUGGUCUUCACCUUCCUUUACUAGGAAUUCAAUGUUCCUUGUUGUUAUGAUGAUUCUAGUACCCUCACUAUACCAGUUUGGCUUACCAACAAGUCUCAUGAUCUGGUCUCGGUUGUCGAUGUCAACAAGAACAAUGAGGACUUUCUUCCCAUGGAGCCUCGUCUUGAUCAAGUGAGCCCCUUCAUCAAUGAAGGAGAGGUUUAUACAAUUGAGUUUGAGGACAUCAGACAACAAUUUUUUUGUAAAUUUAUUAUAUCUUGAGUCCGGACAUCUUUAAGAAAAUAGCAAUGACCUGAAAACUGAGGGGAGAUUUGCCUAAAGACAGCCUUGGCCAAUGUUGUCUUUCCAAUACCACCCAUACCAUGAAUCGCGAUGAAUCUCACAUCAAAUGCUACUAGAUCUAACUGCUCCAUAAUUUCAUCCAUCUGAUCCUUAAUUCCCACCAAAUGAUCAGACAUGUCUGUCCGUCUUGUCCAUAACAAAUUAGAAACUUCCUUGAUCGUGAGAUUCUUAAGUUCAUCUAGGCUGUCACAUAAUAUGCAACCAUCUCAGAUUCAAAAACAACAUAUAUGGAAACUUUGCACGCAUUUCAUGGCACUGGAAGUUUAUCACUGAGUUUAAAGUUAUUUUCUUUGAAAGAAACGAAUAUACAAAAAGUGAUCUUUCAAGCUGCAAGCUGUUUGAAAACCAAAAAACGAAGAAAACAUAUAUAUUCUGUUUUUUUUUUUUUUUGUUCGGCAGAAAAGAUAUACAUUCAAGAGGAGGUGGAGGGACCUUAUUCACAAUUGGAAGCUAUUGCUGUCAAGGUUCUUUGGUCCAGUAAAUGGUGAGAAAAGGUUAUUUUGCGACUGAGGGUCUAGUUGAGCUUCGACUAAAAGUCGCUCCAGCAUAUUGUCACCGAAUUAGAUCUACACAUGGUUGUGUUUGAACAGGUUGUGCACCUCCAAUCCAUUCCAUUCCCUUACAUCUUAUGGAAAAAUUACCAAAUCAAUAUUAAAUAUAUUAAAUACCAUUUUAGUCUAAAACUUUCUAAUAUAAACCUUUACAUAAAAUUUCAGUGUUGUAUAAUGUCAAGCAAAUAUUUAUGACUAUAUUGAAAAAAUUGAAAUGUUUAAAAUCAAAUUAACAUUUGUACAAUUUUGGAUAGAUUUGAUAAUUAUCCUCCAUUUCAUUUUAUACUUUUUACACCAGUUAGUUUCUUCUUGUUGCACAGAGCUGAUAUCAAGACCUCCAGAAGUUUGGCUAAAUAUCAAGUCCUUGGUAAACCAGUCUUGAUCAACUCUUCAAGCAUUUGGGAUGAGUUUGAAGGUUAACGUAAAUAUUAAAAACAAAAAACAAAAAACUCACAAAGCAGUUACCUUUUAGUAUUAAAGUUAGUAAUUUGGUACAAGACUUGGUAAUUUUGAAAUGUGGAGUAAACGAUGUGGUAAGUUGCAAAAAUAUUGUAAAUCGACAAACGAUCUAAUAAACUUAAUAAAUAAUUCACAUUAAAGCCGGUACGCAAGAACUGGUCAGUAAAUUAAUGUAAAAAAAAAAAAAAAGGUUGGUAAGAUACGAGUUAAAGUUCGUAAUUUCAUAUGAAAACUGACAACUAUAAAACUAGGGAUGGGCAUGGGGUAUGGGAGAUCUACACCCCGCGGUGGCCUUUUUGGACGAGGCAAAAUUCUGUCUUGAAAAUUGCCUCACAGGGAAUUUUACUCUCGGCACAGUUGGGCAUGGGCACUAAUAGGCCAGCCCUUCCUGUUCUCGAGGAUUGAAACUAUUACUGUGUUUAAUGAAGGACGGAAACAAGGGUUUAAUGAAGAAAGAUGAAAGUAAGCAUAGAAUAACGACUAGGGUUUAUAGAAAAACUAUCACAAACUAGGGUAGAAAGUAGUUACAUAUCUCAAGGUAAUUAAAAUGAUUAAAUUUCUUAUCCAUUUUCUAGAGGUUCCUAGAUUUCUCUAUCCGUAACUAGAACUACCUAGAAGUCCCUUAAUUGAAUUUUUGGUUUAUUAAGAUCUGGGGCCAAGAAUAGGUCCAUGGUUAAAGCAAGGGCAAUAACCAUUUUUUUUUUUUUCACUUUUUACUGGACAGAAAUGGGUCCAAUAUUGGCAAACUUUAGAUCACUCGUAGACGAAUGUUCAGUUUAAGGCUGUAGAUUUUGUCUAUGAACAAUUGGCCACUAGAGACGCCAAUGACCCCUGCCCCACUAUGAUGAAAGUAAAAGCCCAAGAUUGAUAAUACACCUAAAUCUAAGUCAGUUCUUCACAAACUAAUUAAGAUGCGAUAAGAUGUGUACUAGAGGAUUGAACAUCUAACACAUGCAGAAAUCUUUUUUUUUCUUUGUGCUCUUUUGGAUAAUGGCAUGCAAAGAUCUUUUUAGUGUUUGGUCUUGUAUAUUCAGACCAAAUAGGAAAACCAUGACCUAUAGCUUCCUCUUAUGGGUAUGUAAAACUAUCAUUAUGAAGAAGCUCUGUUAUUUUUGUGUAACUCAGGGGUGUGACCAUAAUUAGCCGGUUACCUCAAGCAAAACAGUAGCAAGGCAUAUGAAUUCCCUAAGGCCGAAAAGGAAUCCACAAGGAUCGCUUUCUUCCUCUUGGCCGUGGAUUUUUGGAUAUUGCAAAGACUUAGUCUAUGCUAUAAUUUCUUUUUAUUCCCGCACAUUUUUACGUCUCCCUAAAGCACAUCAAACACUAACAACUAUUAACUAACACCGACCAUUAAUGGCUCGGAACACAUAAAGAAGCUCGUUAUUGAGCCCUCUUAUUUUGGGCCGAUUCUUCUUCAGCUUUCAUUAGCAUAACAAAAGGAAGAAAUUUACAAGAAAACAUUGCAGGCAUAGGGUUGGGAAAAUUGCACCAAAAGUCCUUAACUUUAGCAAAUAAGUUUACUAGAAGUCCUAAAACUUGUUGUGAAAAGAGAAUCGAGUCAUAAAACUUGCAAAAACCGUAAUCAAACCUUAAAACUUAUCAAAUUAGUUCAAUUGAGUUAUUCCGUUAACUCCGUUCAAUUAAGCUAACUGAAAAUGUUGGCAUGUCUUAUUUUAUUAUUUUCUUAAGACAUGUGGCGAUGAUGUAGCGCCCACCAAGAGCCACAUCAGGAAUAAAAUUUAAAGAAUACAAACAAAAAUUAAAUUAAAAAAUAAAAAAGCUAAAAAAAUUUAAAAAAAAAGAAAAAAAAAUCAAGUCGUGGCUAAGCCUCGCCCUAGGCCUUCUCAAAGCUUGGGGACCCUCGUCUGGGCAUGCCAAGGCCUCGCCUAGGCCCGGCAAAGGCCUAGGCGACCUCCACUAACCCCUCUUGGUGGCUGUGGCAGCGGCCACCAACAAGGGCUUGGCCAAGCCGUGGGGUGAGUUUUUUUUUAAAAAAAAAUUAUAGCUUUUUAUAUUUUAAUCUAAUUUUGCUUGUAAUUUUUAAAUUUUUUCUAAUGUGGCACUUGGUGAGCACCAUGUCAUCGGCACUUGUCUAAUAAAAAAUAAAAUAAGACAUGUUCGCAUUUUCCGUUAGCUAAUUGGAUGGAAUUAACCGAAGGAUUCAAUUGAAUCAAUUCAACAGGUUUUAGAACUUGAUUGCAUUUUUUGCAAGUUUUAAGAUUCGAUUGUACUUUCGUGAUAAGUUUUAGGACUUUCAAUGCACAUAUCCCUUAAGUUUAUGUACAUAAUGCAAUUGAAGUUAAGAAACUUAAUUUAUUUUUUUCACACUUAUAUGGUCUUAUUAUUUUAUCGAAUCUUAGAUCUUCAUGGAUGUCUUGGUUUUUUGGCAUUAUAGAUUAAUUAAUGAAGUCGAUAUACCUUAACACUAAUUGUUAUCAAAACUUAGUAUUAAAAGUGAAAAUUCAAUUUGUGCAAGAAGCCUCGCCAUCUGAGCAAAAUUUCUAGCUCCCCAUUGCGUCAAAUCCAACCAUACAUUACAUAAGGUUCGACAGCAGCAACCUGAAUCUAAUUAUUCUUUAGAGGAAAAAAAAUCGAAGAUGUCAAUAAGAAAAUAAAGUUAUGGAGAAGCAAACAAUACCCAUGAUCUUUUAGAUUCCUUCCUUUAAUUCUGGCAACUGCUUUCAAAGCCUUCUUCCACUUCUUUACUAAAUCCUUCUCUGAGUCACUCUUGUGCUUUUCGAGGGCUUUCCAAUAUAAAUUAGUCUUAAGCUUGACAUCAUCCACAUCCACAUCAUAGAAGAUAGGGAGAAUCACUUUCUCAUCAUUAUCUUUCGAUAACUCCACUAUGCGUGCCAGCUCAUGGAGACACCACUUACUUGAAGCGUAGUUUUUGGAGAAAAUUGGGAUGUAAAUUCUGGAUUCAUUGAUCGCUUGCAAGAGGCUGCCUUCAAUCUCUUCACCAAAUCGAAGCUCUUCAUUGUCUUUGAAAGUGCAGAUCCCCGCGCGGAUCAUGUCAUUGUAGAGAGAAUCAAUGAUGGUUAAGCGGGUGUCAGGCCCUCUGAAGUUGAGGAACACCUCAUAGCCCCUCCUUGAUCUGUCAUCACGGUUGCUGCUCAUUGGAGCUGCCAUUUCCGUUUCUUUUCCCACCCUCUUUCUCUUCAUUCCGUGAGGACAAUGGCUAUUGAUCUCUGAAUUGAGUCGGAUCCUUGUAGCAACCUGACAAAAAGCAACAGAGUGAGAUCGCUCGCUUACUUCCACUACGUUCGCCUGUAAAAAAGACCAUUUAGACUCUCACAAAAUAGGAGGUUGAGGCAACAAUUGAUCAAAGACUUCGAAGAGGAAGAGGUCGUCCCGGGGAUGUUUAUUUUAGCUGAAGUGCAACAUGAUUGAGAGUAUAUGGAAGCAUGUAAUUGAUCAUAUGGAAUUAUCACACGCAUAAACACAAGUUGUCCUGUGUAAGUCACAAUUCUAUAUAGUCAAGCUAGCACUGACCAUGUCUUCAUCUUAUAACAACUUGAUAAACAAACAGAGUGAUAUCACUCACUUCCACUACGUUUGCCUGGAAAUUACUUGCGGCAAAACAAAAAAAACGAAAAAAAAAAAAAAUUAAGCAUUCAGGCUCGCGCCAAAUAGAAGGCCAAGUUGAGGAAAUAAUUGAUGAAAGUCUUCAAAGAGCAGGAGGUUGUCCUGAAAAUAUAUUUUUUUACUGCAUGUUGAUUAAGUGUUGGAUGUAUUGGACAACUUGCCAUUACUUUGUCAUUAGUCAUUAGUGUUCCUUUCGUGUGGAAGUCACCUGCGGCCUUGCUUCAUAAGUAGAAAAAACCAAAUCAGAGUCGCAUCAAAUAGGCGGCUAAGGGAAAUGGUCUGACCAACUGGAUGAGUGGAGUCCUCGAACGUGGUCAGUGCAUGACCCGAGAUUCGAUGUAUGUGAUAAUUUUUUUAAUAAGUAUUGUCAAUUUUUUUUUUUUAAAAAGGCUUUCCGGUAAAACCAACUCCACUUUUCGACAAAAUUUGCAUAUAUUCAUUGAAUGCCAUGGAUUCAUUUUCUGAAUGUUGACUUGCGAUAUGAAAUCUGAUGAUUGCAUGUCUUUGCAUUAUGAACCAAAUAUUACAUUUUAAUCAAGUAUAUCAUGAUUAUGCAUGUUGUCGCAGCCCAGCUGAGGUGAACCUUGAGAGAAUUUAAUUAAUUGCUAGGUGGAGACAUAUAACCCUUGUGCAACUUGGCGCUUACACUUCAUAUGGCUCACCCAAAUCCUAUGGACCACAACUUGAUUUCUCUUUUAAUGUAUGAUUUAAUUUUGAUCAGAGCUGUCACUAAUCUAUUCUAGGCCGGUUGUGAGCUAAGUGAGGAAGAAGAGCUCGUCCUACUUCGGCAAAUCAAUGAAUUUGGACGCAAGGACUUGGUUAAGUUAGUUUUGCCUAAUGCCCACCAUCAGUAGCCUUUUUUCUUUUAAUAAAAAAUUAUUUCAUUCAAUAUAUUUUCAGUUUUUAUUUCUUACCAUGUAUAAGUACUCUUACAAUAAAUUUAAACAAUCAAUGAUGAAGUCAAAGAAAAACAAAGAACAUAAAAAAGCAACUUAGGCAGUAUCGGACAAAACAAUACAACGCGCUGUGAACUAUUCAUAGGAAUAGACAUGCACUAGUCUAAUAAAUUAAAAUUUUCUAAUCUAUGUCAUGAGAAAUUAAUUAUAAAUGCAAUAUUACAAAACUAGCAAUAAUAAAAAUUAGUCUCGUCCUAUAAUGUACCGCAAAGAAGCCCUAAACUAAUCAACAUGCUUCUUUUCAUACUCUUUUUAUAUAUUGAUAUGACAAGAUUAUCUAAAUAUAUAUAUGAAAAAAUUAAAGUAAAUUUAAUUGGUGAUAUAUAAUAAACGCGUAAUCAGAAAGAGACGACAUCUAAACUCUAAGCCGGAAGACGGUAUGGGGGAAAUUGAUACCUAUUUGACAUCUCCGUUUUCACAUGUCUGCAGAAAAGACACGUGAAUGCAAACUCAUGUAUAUGAAAAUGCAAUAUGCUGGAAUUUCAUGAAAAGUGACUCGGAAUGUGUAACUAUAUUUUAUGUGAUGCUAAAACGGACUAAUAAACAAAGGGGGAUCCCCGAGUACCGCUUCGGCGAAGAGCAAACCAACCGGGAGUGGGCUGGAUGAACACUGCUCAGACCGAAGACGGUCUGGACAGUGGACAUUCGACCUAUCCCCGAGUUUAAAAACAGACCCGAAGUGGGCCUCGACAAUGCUAGAGCAAUAACAAACCAAAGGGACCAUCGAGGACCAACCUUGAGAGUCUCAAACAGACCAAAAGUGCUAUUAAGCAUUAUCAAACUCGAGUGAAGUUAGAGUCUGAACAUUGACAGUAAUAUGAUAAUAUUCACUAGCGUGCAAAAAGAAUAAACGAAAGUUGAGAAAUAGAAGAAAUUGCACAUAAGAUUUACAGUGGUUCGGCUUAGAGUAAAUCUACGUCCACUCUCCCACACUGACAGCCUCCUAGCUGGAUUUCACAAGUCUCUCAAUAAGAUGUUAUAGAAGGGAGUGACGAUACUCAGGUUUGUGAUAUACAGUCACUCUUUCAAUGCCUAUCAAGGAUUACAAUUUGUAGCUCAUGAAAGACAAGUAUAUAAGAUUGAAGUUCUCUUGGACUUUGGAAUUUUUUAUUUUGACCUCUCUCUUCUCUUUGGUAUCUUGGUCUUCUUCUAUACUCCUUCACUUCUAAUCUAAUGUUGGACAAUUUUUAGAGAAAUGUUAUCCAAUCAACCCAUUGGACAAAAAAGAUUGAGUAACCGUUGACGGAUAAUAUUUUAAUCUCCAUUGAUUUUGUUGCCUGUACAAGCAAAUAUCGGUUUCCAUAAGUAGAGUUCUUCAAUGAAGGAAAAUAGCUUGCCUUUGGAAUGAUUAUCAAUCAAUCAAAGAUGAUUUGCAUAGAGAUUUUGUUGCAAAACAGUCUUUAAAAUUGAAGCUAAGAAUCUGAAAACAUCAUGGAAAUCUAAGCUAGGUCACUAGCUAUGACGAUAUAAGAAGUGGGGUAUAAGCUCUGUUGAUAUCCUUACUCUUGCUCUGAUGACAUUUGCAUACAAGUUUUGCUAAUAUCCUCACUAUUGCUUUGGUGAUAUUCAUGCAAUAAUAUUGAUGAUAUCCAUGAAUUAAUUGUCUUAAACUUCAAAGGUGAUACACGAACAACAAUAGAUAGAUUCUGAAUGUGAUAAAAAAUAUAUAUAGAUUUAUCCUUCAUGAGUAGUUCCUAAAAUAAAACACUUAUACAUUUAUCAAUAUCAAUAUAACCUUUGCUGAUAUCCUUAAUAUUUCCCAUUUCCUACGUGAGGUUGGUACGCUUGUGGGCCCAUAUAGUUAGGCAGUACUUAAUGGCCUUUUGUGCGGGCACCUUUGAAACGGGGUCAUGUACGGAGGAUCCCCACCUAGGUGCGCUUUCGCUUCCAUCUCUUCGUUUCUUUUUAUUUUUAAUUUGGUUUUAUUUUGAUAACUAUUUCUCUUUUCUUUUUGCUUUGGCUAUAUGAGCUCGCAAGGAAAUGAGAAAUGAGAGAGAACCUUUGUUCCUAGCUCGAUCAUGACGGCUGGGAGUCUCUUUGAACCCGAGAAGGGCGCUAGUUGAGUAUGUAAUGUAGACACCGAAGAUUUGAGCAAAGUUGACCGAGAGUCAAACUUCAUUGAAAGUUGAGUCGAAGGGUAUAAUUGGGUUGUACUUGUCUAAAGCUUCCAGAGAUACCCAAUUUACCCAAAUUGAACGGCUACAUCUUAAGAUAUCAAGAUCAGAAUCACAAAGAUCAGAAUUUUAUGGCAAAAAUAUCGUAACUUUUUGCUAAGUUCAUCCAUUUGACCCGGCUGCCCAAAAUCCACAAUCCGAGGUGAACAACAUUUUAGCUUUCCGAUGGGGAAGGAGAGGGUGGGGGGUGGUUUGGGUUCAAUUGUACAUUAUACGGAAAAGUUAUGCUCGCCCAAGUUCAAUCAAAUUUUGGUAAAAAAUGUGUAAACAUUAAUCUUCGAGAUUUAAAAAAAAAAAAAACAAUAUUGAUGCUCCGUCGAAGAGGACAAUUACUGGAAUAUGUGCUACUUAUUUAUAAAACACAUUUCUAUCUUAUUCGUUGUUUAAUUCAAUUACUUCGGCUAAGUUUAAAUUAAUUGUUCUGCCUAAGCCUACAUCCAGAUAUAAUCAUUUUUAGCUUUAAAUGUUGACAUUAUCUAUACAUAGCACAGGGAAAUAACACAUAAGUAGGGGAUGACAUGUAAACAAUUUAUAAGUUCAUUGGGUCACAUGGCAACACAAUGCCUAGUGUCUUGUCACGUCAUAAAUACAGAGCCAUAGAGAAGUGUCUCGUAGCGAGUAUAGAAACCAACUCUCUCUCAACUUCAGCUUUAACUCUGUCAUGGAUUGGGCGAUUUUAGUUGGCUGACCUUCUUCGAAGUUUAUGUACUUUAAUUUAACUUAAUGGUUCAAAAAAAUCGAAAGAUAUUGGUUAAAGUUUUCUAUAUUUUUUAAUUUCAAGUCCACGGUAAUGUUAAUCUUUUACCCAAUCUGAGUUUCGCCUUGCAAACAAAAUGUACAAAAAGGAUCCCUUUUGUUGAGCUGAGAGGGUCCUGAGAGAGAAACUUUAGUUCAUUCUUUUGUGGAAAUUGUGAAGAAAAUGCAGUUCCUCCUACAUAAGGAGAUAAGGAGAUCAAUAAAGUUGAGAUUUUCAAAAAAAAUUAAUAUUGAAUGAGGGUAUUUAUGCUUUUUGAUGAUAUCAACCUGAUUUUCUUGGUAUUUUCCAGGUCUUGAAAUUGCAAAACACGUCGUGCGUGUGAACACACGAACAGAGGAAUCUAUUUGAUGUGGAAUUUGGCUGUGUGCAAACGAAUUGACUAGACAAACAUACUUAGGUGCUUUUGUUUUUGCUUUUGCUUUCACAAGAGGGUCGGACAAAGACUUGAGGAUGGACUUGCGUAUAUUUUAAGCAAAGAAAACUUAUUUCAUCUUUAUUUCUUAAGGAAGUUCACUCUCUCUCCUAAGUCAUAUAGACUUCAUUGGAUUAGUCUUGCUAGUACUCAGAUCCACAUAAAUCAGGUCCAUCACAAAAUUGCUAAUCAAAUAAAUUGUACAUGGAUCACCAAAAAAUAUAUGGAUGUGAUCACAAUGGGUCUACAGACCAUGAUCCAUGCAACUAUUUUCAUGUAAUGGUUAGUUGAUUAACCGAUAUUAGUCAUAAUGCAAACUGUUGCAAUUUGUAAAAAUUUGAAAAGCUUUAUUUCACAAUUGACAUCCAUUACUUUGUGAUGUGACAAUUGGGGGCCUUCCUAGAAUGCGUUUUGGAAAGAUCGUAGAAACAUCCACGUAAGGACCAAAUAUUUUUUUUUUUUUUUUCUUCUUUUUUUAGCAUAAUUUUCUUUCUUAUUGGAGCCAAACCCAGACUUUUGACUUAAUCAUGGUUAAAAUUGACUGCUUUUCGCCAAUGUCAGGAAUGUAAUCUAGGCGAUGACGUCUCUAAAUGAUCAAUGGAUUUGAACCUUUCUCUGGCUCCAUUGAAUGAAGUCUAGAUUUAUUAUUCACACACGCACAUACACAUAAAAUGUUACCAUGUCCUGAACAUGUCAUUAUGUCUUUUUUAAGAUGGGCACCAAGUUUGAAAUCUAAUAUUAUGCAAUUGUAUUGAAUCACUAUCCGUGCGUGCAGACAUCUAAAAUAUUUUAUCAAUGUUGAUUAUUAACUUAAUAGAAAUAUUAGGCUUCUCAUACAAGCAACUCAAUUUAGGAAACAAGAAGUGAGAGGAAAGAGGCUCGCGAAUCAAUUAGAAUUGCAUCCACGAUGGACUAGUGGUGGGCCUACUUACGUUAUGCUCACUUAGCUAGAAAAAUCUAUAUUUAUCACCUAAUUUUCUGCAUCUGUUGCAAAUGUUUUGUAUGUGUGAUGUACUUUAGAUCGGUAGUAAAGAGUAGCAUAAAUUCAUCACAUGGAACAACUUUUCAAUGCAAGGAUUCAGCCCCUACCUCUUGUUCUCCCAUUUUUCUUAUCUUUCUCUUGUUCUCUCUGAAUAGAGCAAGAGUUCCCAUUGGCAAGAUAGUAUCUCCUGCAAGGGUUAAUUUCUACACACGACUCGACUGCAAUUGGGAGUAUAAUUUUAAAUGUCAUUUUUUAGUAUCAACUUUAAAAAUAUCAAAGUUGUGACUAUUUGAGCUUUCUACACAGUAGUGGCGUGGGUACUGCAUUGAUUGACUUAAAAUAAACAUCUCAACAACUAGGCUUCUUGCAAAUAUCCAACUCAAAGCGUGAGAAAUACCUGUCCAGACCUUGACCCUUGGAUCAUGUGCAAUCAUAAUCAUUAAAAACUCAAGGGAGUUCUGUAAACCCAGGUGACUCACAGCUAUGGUUGACUCCAGGUCACGCCGAUGUGAUUGACAAUGUCAGACAAAAAAUUAAACCCCGAAACNNNNNNNNNNNNNNNNNNNNNNNNNNNNNNNNNNNNNNNNNNNNNNNNNNNNNNNNNNNNNNNNNNNNNNNNNNNNNNNNNNNNNNNNNNNNNNNNNNNNAAAAUCAAUGAAAAAGGAUCGUUGUCCAAUGACUAAUGAUAUACUUGGAAACUACAGGAGACAAGGAAAAGUAGGGCAACUAAGGCUUUGUUUGUUUGAUGGAAAAUAACUCGUUUCGUGGAAAAUGAACAAGUCAAGGAAAUCAUUCUUUGCCGUUAAAAAAAACACUUUCAAAAGUGAGGAAAAUAUUAUUUACUUUUCAGAAAGUGCAAAACAUUUUCCAUAAUUUCUUUCACAUCACUUUCUUUCACCAAACACAUUUUCUUUUUACUUUUAUGUUUUCUUUUUUUUUAAAAAGUGAUUUUUUUAAUUAUUUCUUCUUUUUCUUUUUCUUUUUUCCUUCCUUUUCUUUUUCUUCUUCCUUGGUUGGUCAUUGGCCACAGGCCAGCUCGAGCCUCGCCACAAGUCAGCGAGGCUCAAGCUCACUAGAUACUGGCUAGGCUUGAGCUCGCCAGCUUAUGGCAAGGCGAGUGAGGCUCUAUCUUACCUAAUCCAAUGAGCUCAAGUUCACCUUGCCAAAUUUGGCAAGGCCCAAGCUCGCCUAGCUUGCUGGAUCUGAUAAGGCUUGAGCUCGCCCGACCCACCAUAGGUGAGCUCGAGCUCGCCAACCUUGGCGGAGCUCAGGCUUGCUUGGAUCAACUAAGCCUUGAGCCCGCCAAUCCACGUCUUGGUUAGUCACCAAGUAGCUAGCCAUCAUCAAGGCACGUGGCGGCGGAGGAAGGAGGAGGAAGAAGGAAGAAGAAGGAAGGAAAAGAAAAAGAAGAACAGAAAAAAAAAUUAAAAAAUUAAAAAAUAUUCAAAAUUCAAAAUUAAAAAAUAUAUAAAUUAAAAUUAUUUUUAUGGUCAAUUUAGAAACAUUAAAAUUCAAAUUUUUUGGUAAUUUUUCUAACAAAAUCAAAUCAAAUACCGAACAAUGAAAAUUUCCACUUCAUUUUUAAGUUUCAAUCAAAUAUCGAAAAAUAGAGAGAUUUACCAAAAAAGUCCUAAACCUAUUACAAUUGUGCCAAUUCAGUCCUAAACUUUUUUUUUGUCCAAUUUAGUCCUAAACCUUUUAUAAUUGUGUCAAUUCAGUCCAUCCGGCCAAAAUUGGCCGGCCGGCGCUGACAUGGACGCCAGUGGGGGACAGCCGGCCGGCAAGGUAAUUUUUUAAUAUUUUUUAUUAUAUAUUUUUAUUUUUUUCGAAUUUUUAAUUCUUUUUAAUUCUUUUUUUUUUUUGGCCUUCUUCUCCUUUCUCUGGCCGGAUGCCGGCCAGAGGUGAGGGCCGGCGAGGCUAACCUCGCCGGCCACUGGCAAGGCUCGCCCCGCCGGCCACUGGCGGAGGCAAGCCUCACCCAACGACGGCGGCCUCGUCGUCGCUGGGCGAGGCCGAGCCUCGCCAGAUCUGGCGAGCUCGGCCCUCGCCGGCCACUAGCGAGGGUGAGGCCCUGCCGCGCUGAGUGGUGUAGUCGAGGAACUCGCGGAGGAGCUCGNNNNNNNNNNNNNNNNNNNNNNNNNNNNNNNNNNNNNNNNNNNNNNNNNNNNNNNNNNNNNNNNNNNNNNNNNNNNNNNNNNNNNNNNNNNNNNNNNNNNNNNNNNNNNNNNNNNNNNNNNNNNNNNNNNNNNNNNNNNNNNNNNNNNNNNNNNNNNNNNNNNNNNNNNNNNNNNNNNNNNNNNNNNNNNNNNNNNNNNNNNNNNNNNNNNNNNNNNNNNNNNNNNNNNNNNNNNNNNNNNNNNNNNNNNNNNNNNNNNNNNNNNNNNNNNNNNNNNNNNNNNNNNNNNNNNNNNNNNNNNNNNNNNNNNNNNNNNNNNNNNNNNNNNNNNNNNNNNNNNNNNNNNNNNNNNNNNNNNNNNNNNNNNNNNNNNNNNNNNNNNNNNNNNNNNNNNNNNNNNNNNNNNNNNNNNNNNNNNNNNNNNNNNNNNNNNNNNNNNNNNNNNNNNNNNNNNNNNNNNNNNNNNNNNNNNNNNNNNNNNNNNNNNNNNNNNNNNNNNNNNNNNNNNNNNNNNNNNNNNNNNNNNNNNNNNNNNNNNNNNNNNNNNNNNNNNNNNNNNNNNNNNNNNNNNNNNNNNNNNNNNNNNNNNNNNNNNNNNNNNNNNNNNNNNNNNNNNNNNNNNNNNNNNNNNNNNNNNNNNNNNNNNNNNNNNNNNNNNNNNNNNNNNNNNNNNNNNNNNNNNNNNNNNNNNNNNNNNNNNNNNNNNNNNNNNNNNNNNNNNNNNNNNNNNNNNNNNNNNNNNNNNNNNNNNNNNNNNNNNNNNNNNNNNNNNNNNNNNNNNNNNNNNNNNNNNNNNNNNNNNNNNNNNNNNNNNNNNNNNNNNNNNNNNNNNNNNNNNNNNNNNNNNNNNNNNNNNNNNNNNNNNNNNNNNNNNNNNNNNNNNNNNNNNNNNNNNNNNNNNNNNNNNNNNNNNNNNNNNNNNNNNNNNNNNNNNNNNNNNNNNNNNNNNNNNNNNNNNNNNNNNNNNNNNNNNNNNNNNNNNNNNNNNNNNNNNNNNNNNNNNNNNNNNNNNNNNNNNNNNNNNNNNNNNNNNNNNNNNNNNNNNNNNNNNNNNNNNNNNNNNNNNNNNNNNNNNNNNNNNNNNNNNNNNNNNNNNNNNNNNNNNNNNNNNNNNNNNNNNNNNNNNNNNNNNNNNNNNNNNNNNNNNNNNNNNNNNNNNNNNNNNNNNNNNNNNNNNNNNNNNNNNNNNNNNNNNNNNNNNNNNNNNNNNNNNNNNNNNNNNNNNNNNNNNNNNNNNNNNNNNNNNNNNNNNNNNNNNNNNNNNNNNNNNNNNNNNNNNNNNNNNNNNNNNNNNNNNNNNNNNNNNNNNNNNNNNNNNNNNNNNNNNNNNNNNNNNNNNNNNNNNNNNNNNNNNNNNNNNNNNNNNNNNNNNNNNNNNNNNNNNNNNNNNNNNNNNNNNNNNNNNNNNNNNNNNNNNNNNNNNNNNNNNNNNNNNNNNNNNNNNNNNNNNNNNNNNNNNNNNNNNNNNNNNNNNNNNNNNNNNNNNNNNNNNNNNNNNNNNNNNNNNNNNNNNNNNNNNNNNNNNNNNNNNNNNNNNNNNNNNNNNNNNNNNNNNNNNNNNNNNNNNNNNNNNNNNNNNNNNNNNNNNNNNNNNNNNNNNNNNNNNNNNNNNNNNNNNNNNNNNNNNNNNNNNNNNNNNNNNNNNNNNNNNNNNNNNNNNNNNNNNNNNNNNNNNNNNNNNNNNNNNNNNNNNNNNNNNNNNNNNNNNNNNNNNNNNNNNNNNNNNNNNNNNNNNNNNNNNNNNNNNNNNNNNNNNNNNNNNNNNNNNNNNNNNNNNNNNNNNNNNNNNNNNNNNNNNNNNNNNNNNNNNNNNNNNNNNNNNNNNNNNNNNNNNNNNNNNNNNNNNNNNNNNNNNNNNNNNNNNNNNNNNNNNNNNNNNNNNNNNNNNNNNNNNNNNNNNNNNNNNNNNNNNNNNNNNNNNNNNNNNNNNNNNNNNNNNNNNNNNNNNNNNNNNNNNNNNNNNNNNNNNNNNNNNNNNNNNNNNNNNNNNNNNNNNNNNNNNNNNNNNNNNNNNNNNNNNNNNNNNNNNNNNNNNNNNNNNNNNNNNNNNNNNNNNNNNNNNNNNNNNNNNNNNNNNNNNNNNNNNNNNNNNNNNNNNNNNNNNNNNNNNNNNNNNNNNNNNNNNNNNNNNNNNNNNNNNNNNNNNNNNNNNNNNNNNNNNNNNNNNNNNNNNNNNNNNNNNNNNNNNNNNNNNNNNNNNNNNNNNNNNNNNNNNNNNNNNNNNNNNNNNNNNNNNNNNNNNNNNNNNNNNNNNNNNNNNNNNNNNNNNNNNNNNNNNNNNNNNNNNNNNNNNNNNNNNNNNNNNNNNNNNNNNNNNNNNNNNNNNNNNNNNNNNNNNNNNNNNNNNNNNNNNNNNNNNNNNNNNNNNNNNNNNNNNNNNNNNNNNNNNNNNNNNNNNNNNNNNNNNNNNNNNNNNNNNNNNNNNNNNNNNNNNNNNNNNNNNNNNNNNNNNNNNNNNNNNNNNNNNNNNNNNNNNNNNNNNNNNNNNNNNNNNNNNNNNNNNNNNNNNNNNNNNNNNNNNNNNNNNNNNNNNNNNNNNNNNNNNNNNNNNNNNNNNNNNNNNNNNNNNNNNNNNNNNNNNNNNNNNNNNNNNNNNNNNNNNNNNNNNNNNNNNNNNNNNNNNNNNNNNNNNNNNNNNNAUUCAAUGCUUUCUCUUUUGCCUUCACAACAGGGUCAGACAAAGACUUGACGAUGGACUUGUGUAUGUUCUAAGCAAAGACAAAAGGUCAAAAAUUUGUUCUUAAUUCGAACUAUGCAAUUCAAUCAUGGCGUGAAUCCUACAAUCCCAAUCAAGAUAUUUUUCAUAGUGCAUUUCUAUUUGGACAUACACAGAAUAAUAAUAACAUAAGAUGAUUUAAGGGGAUGAUUAAAAAAAAAAACAGAUUAUUUCAAUUGGCACAUUAGGUCCACUCAAAUUUACAAAGCAAGCAUAAUGGAUCUCUUCCUUCAUUUCUAGGCUAGAAAAAGCAUUGAUUUUGUUCUGGUAAUUAAAUUAAAAAAGAAAAAAAAAAGAAUUAACUUUUCUCGGCUGGAGCCAAAUUCCAUUCUACUUUUGCUAAGCCAAACAAAGCAGAUCUUCUAACUUUCAAUCUAGAUUCGCGCUAAUCAGCGUGAUCAAUUGAUUCUUACCUUUAUUUCACUUACUACGCUUGAUGUACCACUAAAAUGCCAAUUGUUUAUGUUUGGUGUUCACACAAUCUUAAAUUUUUCAAUUAGAAUUUUGUUCAUGACCACCCCCUCCCCAAAAAAAAAAGAUCUAGCUCAUUAAUAUUCUAUUUGAAAGGCCCACAAUACUAAUCAAGUUUUUAUUAUUUUGUUCAGUAAAAUAUUUGAUAGUAACAAAAAAAUAAAGGGUGAGUUAUUUAAGAUUUGUAAUUUACAUAUAUAAUUACAAAAUGCAAAGGAUAAUAUUUGAACUUAUUGAGAUAAAGCUUGAACUCAUUUUAUAACGGUGAUUGUAUCGAGUCAGACUUGAGCUUGAGCUUGAUAUCUUGAUUUUUUUUUGGUCAAGCUCCAACUAGAAAUUGAUUUCUCUAUAACUCGAGUGGAGUUUCAAGCGAUCUAACAUUUGAUAGGAGUUGAGCUUGAGCUUCGCACUAACAGAUGCAUCUGAACAUUGGUAGGUUAGAGUGCGAAGCAAUGGUACUGAAAAGAAUAUCAAUAGUCGUUAAAACCAUAAAUAAAAAUUCAUGUCAUUCUAGAACUAUGUAGGGGUUGAAAGACAAGCCCAUGGAAAGAAAUAUGAACAUGCUGGCGACUCUCGAAUAUUUGUGCUUAAUUGUUUCUACGAGUAAAAAAAAAAAAAAAAAACAUCUCAGUAAUAAAAAACUUUAGCUCAGAAUAUACAAGAAGGAUAAUUAUUGCGUGAAAACUCAUUAAGAGGAAGUCCGCUGACAUAAUGCAACUCUGGCUUCACAACGCUAUCUUCUUCUGAACUGAAGCACUUAAACUGUCUUAGAACAUCAACUUUUAACGUAACCCCACUUUGUCAUUCAAAUCUCCACGAGCUCUUCAAAGUAAAAAGGCAUGCUGCCUGAUACCCUCAAUAACAAAUUGAAAGUAAAAGUGAUUGUUUACCGGACAGACCAGACCAGUCAUGUAUGAUUGUUUAGGACUGGGCAAUGGGCCAUGUCAGCCGUGUGGUCCAGACCCGUUGUGCUCCUAGGCCAAAUCACGCUCAUGGUCCCUAAUUAGCCGAUCCUGGCCUGACAAAUUUUUGAUGGACCAGUUGAGGCCACAUGGGCCCAACCUUAAGGAACUUUGGGGCUCCAAAAAUACAGUCAUUGGACAGUCACUUAUCUAGUGACCCAAUCCGGCCCAACGAUGGGCUACUCACUUGGUCAGGGAAUGGCCGGAAGGCCCCCAAUAGUUGAUUCGGAUUUUCAUUAAUUUUCCUCAAUUACUUUGUUUAUUAUUCAUAUUUUUUUUGGUUUAAAAAAAAUCAUUAAAUUAAAAACAACCCAAGCUCGAGCCAAUAGUGCCUUGGGCCGACCUAGUGUCCACUCCUACUGGCAAUUGGAGUUCGGGUCAGCAAUUUAAAGGCAAAGCGAGGGAAGACGUGGUGGAUAGUCCUAAAACCCUAUCGGCAACUGUAUUUACUUUUGCGAUAGGAAGUAAGAAUGUAAAGGAGGAGGUGGUCACAAAUCCUCAAAAUUCUCUCCCAAAAUCCCUCGGGCUUCUCCAUCCAAAUCCUCAGUUUAAAGAAGCAGAAGUAGCAGCAGAAGAAGAAGAAAAUCCAUCGGAAUGUCGGAAUGUCAGCAUCAACAAUGAACAAUAUGGUUUAGCAAUCGUGGGCAUCAAAUUCAGUGCAACUCGAAUUGGCAGUCAUGGCAACGAGAAACCUCUACGGUCUUUUCUUCUUGAAGUACAAAUCACAGGAUCUCUUUACAACCUCUAGCCAUGGUUCCGAAAGUUUAACAAAGAAAGUCUUUGAUACAAACUUCUCCAUAUUUCCAUAUGGAGAAAGAAUGAAACUUAAGCUUUUUGAAGGAAAUAUAGCUCUUAUGAUAUUUCUUAAGUACUUGAAGUUGUGAAGGACAAAAAAAAGUAAUAAAAGAAAUUUUUGACUAGGAACUAGCCAGAUUUGUCCCAUCUGCAAAAGUUGGUGCCUUUACUUGUCUCUCUUAAAAGUAGAGGUUAUGAUUGUCCUAAAAUGUAUAGUUAAUACCUCUUAGCAGGAAAAGCAUGUUAUACAUAAGACGUUGUGUAAGUAUAUGUUGUUUAUAGGAUGGAGGGGCCUAUCACCAUCUUCUGUUACCAUCUAAGAAAAUGUUGUCCAUGGUCACCUGCAACUUUAUAAAACUAAAAGAACUCUUUGCUGUUGUAAUUAUGGUUAUAAUUAUGGUUAAUAGAUCAACGAAAGUCAAUAAAUUAAUAUACAUCUUUUCUGUUCACGUAUCUCUUUUGGAUUCAUGAAUUUCCUAAUCUUUUAUGUUCACGUAUUUAUUGAGUUAAUGAAUUUCCUAGAUUCAUGUAUCUUUUAGUUCAUGUAUUUAUUGAGUUCAUGAAUCUCUUGAAUUCACGUAUCUUCGGAUUCAUAAAUCUCUUAGAUUCACGUAUCUCUUUAUUCAUGAAUCUCGUGGAUACACACGUCUAUUUAAUUCAUAUAUCUCUGUAGUAUAUGAACUAAAAAGCUCUAUAAAUAGAUAUGAGCAUAGAGCUUCAUUAGAGUUUUUGGUUUUUGGUUUUGGUUUUUCUGAAUCGAUUUCAAAAAGGCUUUGAUAUACUUUUCUACUCUUCUAUUUUAUCUGGAUGUGCUGGUUCAAUUGAACGGUUCGACAGAGUCCUGUUUGCAUAGUGUUAAUCCAAACAGGUUCGAUGUAUUGUAUCUUGGAAGGCAUAGUUCGUGAAUCUGCGGGGCACCUUUGGCAGGAACUAAUCGCCUUAAGGAGAUUCGAUUAUCCGUACAUCACCUCCAAUUUUAUGUUAUUUUUCCAGUGAUAUCUUAUUUUAUUCUUUUCCAAGAUUUAUAAGUUUACAUAAAAAGAAUGAUAUUGUAUAACUAUUAUCAUCUUCUUUAUAUUGAUGUUCUGAUUACAACAAAUAGUGUGUAUUCUUUAGAUAUAAUUUCCAACAUUUGCUCCUUCCUUCCGAGACUCCCAUAGCCCCUAACUUAAUUUUCCAUCACUGUCAUUAGGAAAGCAACUGUUUGCCUAUGCAUGUGACAAUCACAAUCACCGAUCCUCAUCUCUCUCCUCCUCUUAGUUCUCAUUGUCAUGACUCGUGGAGAGAAAACGGAUUUAGAAUUAACCAACAGUCCUCAAUCAGCGUAAGUUCUCCUAGGCUCUUACUUUGCACGAUAUUGGGAAGUCACUUCAUUUUAUUAACCUAUCAAAACUGAGUCACCAGUAGCUACUAAGACUAGUUAGAGCCAAGUGAGAUGUAGGAAUAUACCUCACAUCCUACACAAUCAAAGAUCUAAGUACGAAGACUUAAUUACACUAAUUAUCCAAUUAAUAUUAUUUCCGUAUCUAAACUUGAUUAUUUGUCAACCAACUGUCACAUGCAAGUUUUUUUUUUUUUUUUUAUAUAUCCAAUUAUGAAUUCUAAUGUUCUUAUUUACUAAAUGUACAUGCAACAUUUUUGCAUUUAUUAUGAUCCUAAAAUACAAUCUCACCAUUCAACUAAAAUGAGGAAAUCACCACAUUGAAGCAAUAUAAAAGAAUCAUUUCAUCAAAGAUAGUAAUAAAAGAAAGACUAAAAGAACAAAAAAAAAAAAAAAGGCAAUAAAAUAAUCCGAUGCGAGCUGAGUAAAGAAUAUAAUAUGACAUUGUUAUUGAGUAUCCAAACAACAACCCCAUGAGUUAAAUUCAAAACAAAUCCAAUUUCUUGAGAAAAUGCUAAUCUAUCUAAACCCAAGAUAUCCAUUAAAAUCCCUAAACUAUAUGUAUACCAACUAUGGUCCAGCCUAAGGACCUUAAAAAAAAAAAAGCCGUGGUUAUCGGAGCCCCCGUUCCACGUAAAUAAAAUGGAAGGGUUAACCGCGGGGGGAUUUGUAACCAAAUUUUGGAAACACCCCUCGGCUUGAUCCUAGCUCUGCUGCACUGGCCUCUCGACGACUGCCAGUCCAGUAUCUUGGAAGUGAUGGCAGUAGGAUAUGAAACUAACUAUAAUAUUAAAAUCUACAACCAAAUGAAAGCCUGUUUUUCUAAUCAUUUUCGAAUUCUUUGUAUUAGAAAUUUUUUUUUUUUUAAUUGGGCCGGCUUGUACGAAAGCUUGAUCUCUAGGUGGAGUGGGUUAGAAUUUAAGAAAACAUGUAGGCCCUUGUAAACGAAAUGGGCUUGCUUGCUAAAGCCCAACCUGCGUAUAGCCGAAACAAAGUCCAGAUCUAUCAGACCAAAUUAGGCUCAUAUUCACCAAACCAAGCAAAGCCCAAUUUCAUUAAGCUAAUAAAACCCAAAGCUCAUUAAGCCUAAUUAAGCCUAUUUUUUUAUUCUCUAUUUUUUUCUCUUUUCUUCUCCCUUUUUUCAAUUUUAUUUUAUGCACUAUGUCUCCUCACUUUGAAUUCGGUGCUCUAAGCCAAAGAAGCUGUGGAAAUAGAAGUUGCCAAAAUGCCGUGACUGCUCAAAAUUCGUAAUUGGAAAUCGCAAACCCACCUGAUGAAUUGUUCUAUAAAUGCCGCAUCCCCAUAUGAGAAUGAGACUAUUGCAAGGAUUAACUACAAUAGCUGGAUGAUAGGCCACUCUCAGAAUCUGCAGUUAAAAUUCUGACUGGAGGUGCACAACCCUAGUCUUGGGGAGAGAUGAUAGAAUUCGACGAAUGAAGAGAAUUUCUAUGGGGUCUAUUCUCGGCAUCAAAGACUGAUGGCCUUGCCUUGGAAGCAAUGGACUUUAGAAGCGAGUCAGUUAUAGUUGGCUUUUUCCCAUGCUGACCUCUGCUAUCGAGAAGAUCGUCAACAGCUUGAAGCUGUGCAUCUGAAAGCAGAGCUUGAAGAUCCACUUUGCUGAAUCCUUCUAUCAUAUGAGCUAUAGCAUCAAAGUCCACAUCACUGGCCAAAGGAAGCUGCACAAGGGCAUUAAAGCAUACACUUAGCAAAACUUCAACAUUGCCUGAUGGUUGCCAUUUUCGCUGACUGAUCAUACAGAAACGGAGAAAUAUAAUUAAUUGAAUCCACCCAAUAUCUUCCUAAUUAGUGAAAAGAAAAGAAAAGGAGAGGAUGGUGAUGUCUCAGAAAGGUUAUACUAAAUGAUACCCAAAGGUAAGUCUUAGUCCCGUCUCAUGGAUUUUCAGCUAUAAAAGCCUUUCUCAUUUUAUUUUUUUUCUGAGCAUCAUUGGUAGAUGUUAAAGCUACCAGUCUCAAGGUCCGAGGUUGAAAGUGAUUUACUACUGAACAUCUAAACUUUACCUGAGCCUCACCUGAGCAUGUUGCAGAUUCAACCCACAACGCCUUUUACAAUGUUCUCUUGUAAUUGACAAUGUUUAGGGUGAUUUGGGGUGCAAGGACUUUUAGAGAACUCCACGGAGAAGGGGUUUUAACUUUUAACUCAACGUGUUUCGCCAAAUGUACUCUGUCAGAUGCCAUAAGUUCUAAACAGGAUCUUAGCUGCUUAAAUCGACUAUGUUUCUAACUCUUUUUGUUUGUUUUAAGCAAUUUCCUGUUCAUAUGAAAUCUCUCCUAUGCAUCUUUCUAGAAAAAAGUAGGAUUGUGGUCAUAUAGUUCUUUAACAAGCAAUCCCAUAAAUUUCAAUAUGUGCAACCUGUUUCAGACCAUGUAAAAAAUGAAAUGCUAAAAGCAAAAAAACUGGCAUAUGGAUGGAAGCUAAGGCCCUGUUUGAUAAAUUUUGUUUCUAUUCCUCAGAAUAACUAUUUCUAUUCUUUUGUUCUAGGGAAUAAGAAAAGAACAGAAACCUGUUUAGUAAAAUUUUUGUUCCCAUGAAACAAAAAAUCUAUUUUUUUUUUUUUGUUCUCGAGAAUAGAUUUGAAAUAGAAGUAAAAGUAGAAAAAACAAACUUCUUGUUCUCGGGAACAAUUUCUUAAAUUUAUUUUUUUCCUCUCUUAUCUCUUCUUCUCUUUCUUUUCUGCUUCUUCUUCUUCUUCAUUUUGGCCGGUUGCUGGCCAUGGCUGGCGACCUCGCCGGAGCGUCGCCGACCCUUGGAGACGUUGAGCCACGGCGAGGCUCGUCGGCUUGAGUUUUGCCAUGGCUGGGCGAGGCUGGCCUUGCUAGGCCACCUCUAGGAUGGUGUCGCUUGGCAGUGGCCCGACAAGGUCGAGCCUCGCUGAUAGCUAGGUGAGCUCGGCCUCGCUAGGUUUGGGUGACGUCUACCUCUGUCACGCCCCAAUUCUCGGGGACGCGCCCAUCCUUCGACUUGGUCGAUUUUCUUAGUGUGAUAUCCCAGGACUAUGUAUCGCAGACCCUUUCAUUUUUAAUAUGCAUGCGGAAGUAGUUAUAAAUCCCCAGACAAUAAAAUGAUGGGAUAGACAAGCAAGGCCAUAUUUUUCAUAUUGAAAUCCACAACCAUACUUUUAUACAGAGCAUAAUUCGAAGAGCUUCAGAAAACUAAUCACAACUUUUUAGUCUCAGUCUAUCCACAUAUAUACAGGGUUCACAAAAGAGGAUGGGAUUUCAGUCCUCAUCCAGAUAGACAAGAUCAAACUGAUCCUCCUUCAAUUCUUCUCCACUCAGCUCGUUUCUUUUAAACUCUUCAUCAUCUUCUUUAAGCUCAUUCUCGGCUCUAGAUGCUGGCUCAUCCUCACGUGAUCUGGGGGCCUGAAAUAUUAUCCCACAACCGGGAUGAGACUACGUCUCAGCAAGUUCUACCCCACUAAGACUCGAUUAGGAAACCAAUACGCUAUCCAGGCUGCCUAUGCACACACGGGUCAGAGGACUUACCUUGGCCUCAGAUUCCACCUGCAUAUUAGUACAGUUCAAUAGGCACCCAAGCAAUCACAUCACAGAUCGACAUCUUGAUCAAUCGACCUAGUCAAUUACUUGUUAAUCGAACCAUCCCAAGGUCAUUUCCAUUCAAUCAAUCAAUUCACGAAAUUAGAUUAAAGCAAUGAUCAAUCCACUUAGUCGGUUACAUAUCAAACGGACCAUUCUUGGUCAUUUCAAUCAAUACUGUCCAUUCUCUAAAAUAACCCAUCGGGUUAUCAAGCCAGUAAUUUAUACGAUUCAAUCUCCGAGAUGACACACUAAGUCACUGAGUCAUUAUAACAUACUAUUCAUUCUCCAAGAUAACGUAUUGAGUUACCGAGCUAGUAUAUUAUAAUAUUCAUUCUCCGAGAUGACAUAUAGAGUCACCGAGUAUAUUCAUCAUAACGUACAUUCUCCAAGAUAACAUGUCGAGCCACCGAGCUGUUAUGGCAUGUCGUCCAUUCUCCAAGAUGAUCUAUAGAAUCACCGAGCCGACAUUUAAUACAGUCCAUUCUCCAACAUGACUUAUAGGGUCAUCGAGCCGGUAUACAAGCAAUUCUUUCUCAAAAUGACAUGAGAGUCAUCGAGCUGUAAUAGUAUAACGUCCAUUCUCCAGAUGACAUACGAAUCAUCCAGCCGUUAUAGUAUUUUUUUUGUUCCGAAGACACAAUCAAUUUCACCCUUUUCAUCAUAUUUGAUAAAAGUACACGUGUGUGGGCACACGGUCGGCCUUAGCCAAAAUACAAUAAUUUCCUUUUUAUUCACUCACUCCCUUCAGCAGUACAAAAAUAGAUUUUUGACACUGUAGACCGACGCCCGGUAAUUUUCCACUCAAUUACCAAGGUUAUUCAAUUUCUGAAAUAAACAGCCACAACUACUAUUUGCACUCAAUUUGCACAACUAGGUACUCAAUUAAAUAAACAUAGAGCACCACUGAAAUCAGCACGAAAUUCCGAUCGUCGGCUAUCCCAGCCUAAUUUCCAGUAAUUAAAUAAUUAAUUAAUUAAUUUCAAAAAUUAAUAAUUAAAUACUAAAAAUCCAAUUUAUGCCCGUAUUGCCUAAUUGAAGCCCAAUAAGGGUCGGGACAAAUCCCGAGAUGCAUUCAAUAAAUAGUAUAGGCAGCUCUCUAGCUAAGUACACUAACCACCUAACUAAUAUGCAAUGCAAUUAACUAAUAAUCACUAAUCCAUUCUAGUCUAACCACCUAAUUGCACUUAAUUAAAUCUAAUCAACCCUUAAGCAUCAUUAGUCUACUAAGAAAGGAUUAGUGAGAUUACUCACUUGAUUUGCGAAGAACAGAACACCGCGACGGCGGCCGAACUUGGGCCCGCGACAAACUUGGGCCGGGCCAAUAAACUUUACAAGCCCAUAGAAAUUUCUGGGCUUGGGCCUGCUGGAAAUCCUAUCUUCGCUGAAGCUGGGCCGGGCUUCAAGACUGAAGACUUGGGCUGCUAUGGGAAUUCUUUUGUGGGUUGAACGUUUGAGGAUGCUGAGCCAAAUCCUUGCGCCCUCGUGGACGAUGAGGCUGCUGGGCCAAUAGGCUGAGGAAAUGAAGACGGCUGAAGACACGUGAUGGAGGAAGGCUGGCAGGGCAAAGGACGCUCGCCGGUGGGGACGAACGUUGCAGCAAGCGGCUGGGCUCUGGUCUUCGUAGCUGGGAGUCAACACACGGCCAGGGGAUGAAGCGGAUGAGUGGUAGACGGGCUCGCUGGUGGAGCGGUUUUUGCUGUGGACUGCUUCAAUCGGGCUGAGGGCAGACGGAAGACACGCAGAUGGAAGCUCGUUCGGUGGGCGUGUGGGGAAGGCACCGACUGGAGGCUCACGGCCAAAUGGCAGCAAAACAAAGCUGCUCGAUCAACCACUGAGUUUCGGUGGGCUUGCUGUUGUUGACUGAAGGAGUUCAGGCCAUGGAUGCGUGGAGUUGUGCGUGGAUGGAGAGAUCGUGAGCUUCAACGGCAGAGAAUUGGAGGAGCACGUGGGUUCUUCGGGCUUGCUGCUGGCAAUUCGGCAAAGGGGAAGAACGAUCAUGGGCGUGGGGAAUUGAGCUGGCCAGUUCACUCGGUGAGGAAGCAGAACCAAGACGAAGCAGUAGUUAAUCUUUGUUGCUGUGGGUGCGCGAAUUCCUGGGAAGAAAGAAUUGGCUGCACGAUCUGAUGGGGGGAGAGGGGUGAGAGAGAGAAUAGAUAUGAAGGAUGAGGGGCCCUUUGCUUUUAAUUCUCACACAAAUAUCUCCCAAAAACCAUUCUUAGCCAUGUAUAGUUUCCUUGGCUCACAAUGGACACUCAUGCACUCUUCUAGAAGCCAAAAUGGUCCAAAUGUUGUGGCUUGGUGGGGGUACACGAAUUUAGAGGAGGAUGGACUCAAUUGUACAUCAAUUCUCUCUUGAUUUACUUUCAAUUGAUUCCCAUAAUUUCAGUUGGUACUUAAAUGCCUCAAUUGAUCAUUUUCCUCGUCCAAGAACCCAUAUUGCAUCUCAAUUUUGCCUCCAAAACUAAUCCUCGGCUUGUUCUGCACAAAAACGGCCCUGCGAUGACUUUUCCUCAAAAAGUCUCGGUUGUCAGAAAAAUCUUCUGAGACUGAGUCAAUACUUUUAGAAUUUAUUGUGACAUGAUGGAAACUUCGAUUUCCAAAAUCGGACUUGAAUUCGCGGUUAAUUUCCAUUUGGCGCUUUUUAGCGUGACCUAAACUAUCGGGUAGUUUUCAGAACUUUUUAGGGCAAAUGACCCAUGGCCGAUUUUCUUCGAGCCAUUAUGAACCCACUCGACUCAAUGGGGACUCUCGAUUGUCGUGAAAAUCUCAAGGAUUCAAUUACGGACACAGGAUACCAAAACGAUAGUAAAAUCAAAUUUGUGUCGGUCAAUGAGAAUUUCCCAAUUUAGUGGAGUCACUCACGAUCGGCUAAACAUCUCAGUCGAACAGAUCUAUCUCUAAUCUCAAAUCGAUUUUCUUAACUGUGUCGUAAUGGCCUCUGAAGACAAUCACGGUCAAGAAGCCGAUUUUUAGUCGAAUUUUUUAGUCUAUUUGCCUUAAAGUCCUUAAUAGCUUCCCCGAAUAGUCUAGUUAUCUCGAGAGUGAUCAGCUCUAAGAACAACUCUAUAGGCGUGUCAAUGAAAUGCCCGAUUAAUUCAAUAGAAAAUAGAUCUGAAAAUUCGGGAUGUCACAACUCUUCCCCUCUUAUAAAAAUUUCGUCCUCAAAAUUUAAACCUUACAUACUUUGAUAAAAAAGGUGGGGGUACAAUUCUCUCAUCGACUCUUCAGUUUCCUAGGUCGCGUCUUCUGUACCGUGGUGUUGUCAGACCACUUUGAACAACGGAAUGGUCUUUGUACACAGAACUUGCUCUUUACGAUCGACGAUCUGGACCAGGCUUUCAACGUAUGACACAUGGUCAUCCACGUCCAAUUCCUUAAAAUUGAGCACAUGGGUCGGGUCAGGCUCGUACUUCCCUAACAUCGACACGUGAAAGACGUCAUGCACUUGCGCCAUUCUUGGCGGCAAUGCAAGACGAUACGUUAGGUUCCCAAUUCUUUCAAGAAUCUCAAACGGACCUACGUACCUCGGACUCAGUUUGCCUUUCUUACCAAAAUGCGAAGUUCCUCUCAUUGGUGACACUUUCAGAAAAACUUGAUCACCAACUUGGAAUUCCAAAGACCUUGGAUGCUUAUCUGCAUAACUUUUCUGCCUGCUUUGCGCUGUCUUUAAUUUGCAUCUGAUCACCGUCACGGCAUCUACUGACUGCUGAACCAACUCUAGGCUUGUGAUUUUUCUUUCCCUGACUUCGUCCCAACACACUGGAGUCCUACAUGCUCUACCAUACAAUGCUUCAAAUGGAGCCAUCUAGAUGCUCUGCUGAUAACUGUUAUUGUAAGCGAAUUCCACCAGAUGAAGCCGAUCUUCUCAACUUCCUUUGAAAUCUAUUACAUAAGCUCUCAGCAUGUCCUCGAGAGUUUGAAUUGUCCUCUCAGACUGGCCAUCCGUCUGAGGAUGAUACGCCGUACUAUACUGAAGUUUUGUACUUAGCGCACUCUGCAAGCUCUUCCAAAAAGCAGCAGUAAAUCUCGGGUCUCUAUCUGACGUUAUCGUAACUGGCACUCCAUGCAUACGAACCACCUGACGCACAUACAGGUCUGCGUGUCUAUCCAGACUCAGGUCCUUUUGAACUGCAAUGAAGUGAGCCGACUUCGUCAAUCUAUCAACCACUACCCAAAUUGAAUCAUUCCAUCUUUGACUCCUUGGUAGUCCAGUCACGAAGUCCAUCGUGAUAUGCUCCCACUUCCAUUUUGGGAUCGUGAGAGGUUGCAGAAGUCCUCCUGACUUGUAAUGUUGGGCCUUUACUUGUUGACAUGUCAAACCUUUGGCGACAUGCUUGGCAAUGUCCGCCUUCAUACCUGGCCACCAAUAGUGUUGAUGCAGAUUCUGAUACAUUUUAGUACUUCCAGGAUGAAUGCUGUAACUACUACGAUGUGCUUCAGAUAAAAUUUCUUCUCUAAGCUCCACGAGCCAAACCUUUUUAUACAUAUGGUAUUAAAGUUAUACCUAAGCAAACCCGUCAAGUACAACUAUAGUCAGAGAUUCAUCUUUCUACCACUUUAUUACAACAACAAAAAUUUUUACAACCUUCACUCAAAAUUCUGCUGCGCUACUCUGAUAAAAACACCUCAAAAACAUUCUUCCAUUGCUCGGUGCCUAAUUGGUCCAUUCUUGUUCCUUGCGUCGUUCUAGUGGUGUUCUAUCUGCGGUGCUUUCCCUUUGUCCGAUCCUCUGGUGAUGGCGUACACUCUUCCCUGCUCUGGGGAUCUGUUCCGCAUAGCCAUACCUGUAAUCGCGUCAGGCACAGCUUCUGCCUGACCUUGUGUGAUGGCAUACACUGUGCCCUGAACUGGUGGUCUCAGCUGACCUCCCUGUGGCACGUUUUGAGGGGCGUACCCUCUAAUCUAUCCCACUAGCGGCGGUGACGGCAAUGGUAACUACAGUUGUCCUCUUAGCUUCCUUGGACAAUCUCUAGCCAGGUGGCCUGGCUGACCACACUCGUAACAAGCACCCAUCAUUCGAAGGCACUGGUUCGGUCCAUGUCACCUUCCACAAGCGCGACAUAAAUCAUUCCUGGUUGGCACUGGCUUGCCAACUCCUCCUCUCCUAUCAGGCAAAAUCGGGAAUCUAUUCUCAGGCAUGGCCUCUUCCCAUGGUGAAUACUCUCUCUGUGCCAGCUGAACCUCGAUCCAGAUGAGGCAGCUUGCUCAUUCAAUCCUCGCUCUAUCAUCUGAGCUCGACGAUAAACUUCUCUAUAAUCCUUCAAGUCCCAAGGUAACAAAGGUUGUUUCAAUUCAGUACGAAGACCACUUUUGAAUUUCCGAGCUUUCUCUUCAGGGUCUUCUAUAAGUUUAGGAGCAUAUUGUGACAGUUCUGCGAACUUGACCCCAUAUUGGUCAACUGUCAUGCUCCCUUGGCGGAGACGGUGGAACUCAUCUAUCUUUUGUUCCUGAGCAGUACUCGAAAAAGUACUGAUCAUUAAAGGCUCUGAGGAAGGUGUCCCACACCUGGACCACACCUUCCGGGAACACUGUAUCCUUGGCAGCUCUCCACCAUAUAUUGGCGUUACCUUGAAGUUGAUACACAGCUAGUAACACCUUUUCCUCCUCAUUGCACAUCAGAAGUGCAAAUGCCUUCUCCAAAUCCUCUACCCACAGAGACGCGAGCUUAGGGUCUCCGGUACCAAUGAAUCUUGGCGGAUUCAUUUUUAAGAACUGAUCCACUAACUGGUGAAUCGGCCUCCCAGCGGCCACAACUCCUGGUAGUAUUUCAGCAAGGGCGACGGCAGGUGCAACUGCAGGUGCGGAGACAGAGGCGGCUUGAGCAGUAGCGGCAGUUGCGGCAGUGGCAGCGGCCUGAGCAGCGGCUUCAACUAUAGCGGCUUGUUGAUCCAUUCUCACACCCAUUGCUUCCAGAACACGCAAGAUCCCAUCCAACAUGGGAUCAUUAGGGGCUGCUACCCUGGCAUCUACGACAGGUGGAAUCACUCCACUCGUGCUAGCCUGUGCUAGCGCUCGACCACGUUCGCCUCGAGUCCCGACACGAGUCGGAGCUUUACCCCGAACAACGGCCCUACUGGUCCUCUUAACAGGAGUCCUCGACUCCUGAUCGCUCGUAGUGUUGUUUUAAAUCUACCAACACCUGUUUUCAAUUCAACACCGAAUUAGAAACAGAGCAAUCCAAACAACAAGCAAUUUUAGCAUCCAGCUAACACAGACAUGCACAAGCAUCAAUUUAAAGGCCUUUCUUGUUACUAUCCCAAGACUCAUCACUCCUUAUCACUCCAAUCUUAAACUUCGCUCUGAUACCACAAAAAGGGGAUGUCACGCCCCAAUUCUCGGGGACGCACCCAUCCUUCUACUUGGUCGAUUUUCUUAGUGCGAUAUCCCAGGAUUAUGUAUCGCCAACCCUUUUCAUUUUUAAUAUGCAUGCGAAAGCAGUUAUAAAUCCCCAGACAAUAAAACGAUGGGAUAGACAAGCAAUGCCAUAUUUUUCAUAAUGAAUUCCACAACCAUACUUUCAUACAAAGCAUAAUUCAAAGAGCUUCACAAAACUAACCACAACUUUUUAGUCUCAGUCUAUCCACAUAUAUACAGGGUUCACAAAAGAGGAUGGGAUCUCAGUCCUCAUCCAUAUAGUCAAGAUCAAAAUGAUAAAUUCUUCUCCACUCAGCUCGUUUUUUUAAACUCUUCAUCAUCUUCUUUAAGCUCAUCCUCGGCUCUAGAUGCCGGCUCAUCCUCACGUGAUCUAGGGGCCUGAAAUAUUAUCCCACAACCAGGAUGAAAUUACGUCUCAGUAAGGUCUACCCUACUAAGACUUGAUUAGGAAACCAAUACGCUAUCCAGGCUGUCUAUGCACACACGGGUCAAAGGACUUACCUUGGCCUCAGAUUCCACCUGCAUAUUAGUACAGUUCAAUAGGCACCCAAGCAAUCACAUCACAUAUCGACAUCUCGAUCAAUCGACCUAGUCGAUUACUUGUUAAUCGGACCAUCCCAAGGUCAUUUCCAUUCAAUCAUUCAAUUCAUGAAAUCAGAUUAAAGCAAAGAUCAAUCCACUUAGUCGGUUACAUAUCAAACGGACCAUUCUUGGUCAUUUCAGUCAAUACUGUCCAUUCUCUAAAAUAACCCAUCGGGUUAUCAAGCCAGUAAUUUAUACGAUUCAAUCUCUGAGAUGACACACUAAGUCACCGAGUCAUUAUAACAUACUAUUCAUUCUCCAAGAUAACGUAUUGAGUUACCGAGCUAGUAUAUUAUAAUAUUCAUUCUCCGAGAUGACAUAUAGAGUCACCGAGUAUAUUCAUCAUAACGUACAUUCUCCAAGAUAACAUGUCGAGCCACCGAGCUGUUAUGGCAUGUCGUCCAUUCUCCAAGAUGAUCUAUAGAAUCACCGAGCCGACAUUUAAUACAGUCCAUUCUCCAAGAUGACCUAUAGGGUCAUCGAGCCGGUAUACAAGCAAUUCUUUCUCAAAAUGACAUGAGAGUCAUCGAGCUGUAAUAGUAUAACGUCCAUUCUCCAGAUGACAUACGAAUCAUCCAGCCGUUAUAGUAUUUUUUUGUUCCGAAGACACGAUCAAUUUCACCCUUUUCAUCAUAUUUGAUAGAAGUACACAUGUGUGGGCACACAGUCGGCCUUAGCCAAAAUACAAUAAUUUCCUUUUUAUUCACUCACUCCCUUCAGCAGUACAAAAAUAGAUUUUUGACGCUGUAGACCGACGCCCGGUAAUUUUCCACUCAAUUACCAAGGUUAUUCAAUUUCUGAAAUAAACAUCCACAACUACUAUUUGCACUCAAUUUGCACAACCAGGUACUCAAUUAAAUAAACAUAGAGCACCACUAAAAUCAGCACGAAAUUCAGAUCGUCGACUAUCCCAGCCUAAUUUCCGGUAAUUAAAUAAUUAAUUAAUUAAUUUCAAAAAUUAAUAAUUAAAUACUAAAAAUCCAAUUUAUGCCCGUAUUGCCUAAUUGAAGCCCAAUAAGGGUCGGGACAAAUCCUGAGAUGCAUUCAAUAAAUAGUAUAGGCAGCUCUCUAGCUAAGUACACUAACCACCUAACUAAAUGCAAUAUAAUUAACUAAUAAUCACUAAUCCAUUCUAGUCUAACCACCUAAUUGCACUUAAUUAAAUCUAAUCAACCCUUAAGCAUCAUUAGUCUACUAAGAAAGGAUUAGUGAGAUUACUCACUUGAUUUGCGAAGAAUGGAACACCGCGAUGGCGGCUGAACUUGGGCCCGCGACAAACUUGGGCCGGGCCAAUAAACUUUACAAGCCCACAGAAAUUUCUAGGCUUGGGCCUGCUGGAAAUCUUGGGCUGAACUUGAUCUGGGCUUCAAGACUGGGCUUAAAUGGGUUUGAAACAAAGCUGAACUGGGCCUGUCUUCGCUGAAGCUGGGCCGGGCUUCAAGUGGCUGAGUUGCUGGACUUCACUGAAUUGGGCCGGGCUUCAAGACUGAAGACUUGGGCUGCUGUGGGAAUUUUUUUGUGGGUUGAACGUGUGAGGAUGCUAGGCCAAAUCCUUGCGGCCUCGUGGAUGCUGAGGAAGUUGGGCCGAUAGGCUGAGGAAAUGAAGACGGCUGAAGACACGUGAUGGAGGAAGGCUGGCAGGGGGAAAGAUGUUCGCUGGUGGGGAUGAACGUGGCAGCAAGCGGCUGGGCUCCGGUCUUCGUAGCUGGGAGUCAACACAUAGCCAGGGGAUGAAGCGAAUGAGUGGCAGACGGGCUUGCUGGUGGAGCAAUUUUUGAUGUGGACUGCUUCAAUUGGGCUGAGGGCAGAUGGAAGACACGCAGAUGGAAGCUCGUUUAGUGGGCAUGUGGGGAAGGCACCGACUGGAGGCUCACGGCCAAAUGGCAGCAAAACAAAGCUGCUCGGUCAACCACUGAGUUUCGGUGGGCUUGUUGCUGUUGACCGAAGGAGUUUAGGCCAUGGACGCGUGGAGUUGUGCGUGGAUGGAGAGAUCACGAGCGUCAACGGCAGAGAAUUGGAGGAGCACGUGGGUUCUUCGGGCUUGCUGUUGGCAAUUCGGCAAAGGGGAAGAACGAUCGUGGGCGUGGGGAAUUGAGCUGGCCAGUUUGCUCGGUGGGGAAGCAGAACCAAGUCGAAGCAGCAGUUAAUCUUUGUUGCUGUGGAUGCGCGAGUUCCCGGGAAGAAAGAAUUGGCUGCAUGAUCUGAUGGGGGGGAGAGGGGGUGAGAGAGAGGAUAGAUAUGAAGGAUGAGGGGCCAUUUGCUUUUAAUUCUCACACAAAUAUCUCCUAAAAACCAUUCUUAGCCAUGUUUAGUUUCCUUGGCUCACAAUGGACCACUCAUGCACUCUUCUAGAAGCCAAAAUGGUCCAAAUGUUGUGGCUUAGUGGGGGUACACGAAUUUAGAGGAGGAUGAACUCAAUUGUACAUCAAUUCUCUCUUGAUUUACUUUCAAUUGAUUCCCAUAAUUUCAAUUGGUACUUCAAUGCCUCAAUUGAUAAUUUUCCUCGUCCAAGAACCCAUCUUGCAUCUCAAUUUUGCCUCCAAAACUAAUCCUCGGCUUGUUCUGCACAAAAACGGCCAUGCGAUGACUUUUCCCCAAAAAGUCUCAGUUGUCAGAAAAAUCUUCUGAGACUGAGUCGAUACUUCUAGAAUUUAUUGUGACAUGAUGGAAACUUCGAUUUCCAAAAUCGGACUUGAAUUCGUAGUUAAUUUCCAUUUGGCGCUUUUUAGCGUGACCUAAACUAUCAGGUUGUUUUCAGAACUAUUUAGGGCAAAUGACCCAUGGUCGAUUUUCUUCGAGCCACUAUGAACCCACUCGACUCAAUGGCGACUCUCGAUUGUCGUGAAAAUCUCGAUGAUUCAAUUACGGACACAGGGCACCAAAACGAUAGUAAAAUCAAAUUUGUGUCGGUCGAUGAGAAUUUCCCAAUUUAGUGGAGUCACCCACGAUCGGCCAAACAUCUCAGUCAAACAGAUCUAUCUCUGAUCUCAAAUGGAUUUUUUUAACUGUGCCGUAAUGGCCUCUAAAGACAAUCACGGUCAAGAAGCCGAUUCUUAGUCGAAUUCUCUAGUCUAUUUGCCUUAAAGUCGUUAAUAGCUUCUCCAAAUAGUCUAGUUAUCUCGAGAGUGAUUAGCUCUGAGAACAACCUAUAGACGCGUCAAUGAAAUGCUCGAUUAAUUCAAUAGAAAACAGAUCUGAAAAUUCAGGAUGUCACAACCUCACCCAGCUAAGGCGAAGCCGAGCCUCGCACAACCACAAUAAGGCUUGGCCUCCUUAGCCAGCGCGAGGCUCGCCUGGCCACCGGCAAGGCUCGGCCUCGCCCAGAUCUGGUGAGGCCGAGGCUCGCCGUGGACAGGCUGGCCUUCGGCGAGCUUGUCAGACCUCACCCAGGCGGUGGUCGGCGACUGGCCAAAGAGAAAAGGAAAAAGGAAAAGAUAAGAAAAUAUAAUAAAAGAAUUAAAAACUCUAACAAUCAUGCCAAACUUAUUUUUGUACUGAGACUAGAAAUUUUGGAAAGUUACCAAAUGAGUUCUUUUGCUCAGAAAUUGUUCUUGAGAUGAGAAUAAAAAAAAAAACCAUUUAUGAUAAAAAUUAUUCUCUAGAACAGAAUUGUUACCAAACGUGGCUCUAAGUUUCUACCUUAUGGGAUAAAAGUUGUGAAAAUAUCCAGCCUCUCCUUUAUUGAAGGAAAAUCAUAGAACAUAAGUUGAGCCAGCUAGGUCUCAAAAGUGUGAUCUGCUGCUUCUCAUCAAAUGCAACACAUAACUAGACAAUGAUAAAAUAAAGAAAAAGCAUCCUUGGAAAGAAAAUUGAAUUAGAAUUAUUAGUAGAUAGAUGAACCCAUGAACCUUGCGCAAAACAAGAGAGCACUUCAUGCAGCAAAUGUCAUGAUGACUAAGAAAUUGCAUGUGCUCGAUGUAACAAGCCUCAAACGAUCAGAAUCAGUUGAUGCCAUUAUAAAGGCUCAAUACCAGCAUAAUACAUGUCUUGCAAGCUACUUCAACAACUGAAAAGUAAUUUAUGCAAUCCCAUCAUUUGUUACCUACUUUUUGAUACAUAUGUAGUCAAUAUUGUGCAUCCAAUGUUAAACAGUUCUAAAUCAAGGAAAAGUCAUGUCUAGCAUUUUAUUGUCUAACUUGAAGGUUAUUACAUAGUAUCCAUACUAAAUGCUUCAUAAAAAAUGUUUGUCGAAGUGUUCAUAAUGGCCAUGCAAUUUGCAGUAGCAAUUGAUAGUUAGUGUGCCAUUAGAAGAGAAUACUUUUUGUUCAUAUUAUACAAAAUUAUUACCUUUUUUCCGCCAACACAAACACACCGGUUAAAACUGCAACACCAUCUAAUUCGGUAAAAAAAUGCACCAACGAAUAACAUACCAGUAGUGACUCAUAAAAUUAGAUAGAUUUUACAUGACCACCUUAUAAUUACUUUUGAAUGCAAGAAACUAAAUUCAUUGAUGACAUGAUCAGUGACCCAAUAUUAUCAUGCCCCCUCUUUGAAGUAAUGAAUCAAAUUCAUCGAAAAAGAGAUGGCAAGGUGUUGCAUCUACUGCCUUCAAGAAUAUAUCAGAACCUGUAGUUUUCUAAUUGUCGUUACUAUCAAAUAUUCAAAAUCUCUCCAUUUUGCUGACAAAAUCAACGAUCAUAAAAUCCCGAGGAUUUUCCCUUCGACUGAAACGAAACUCGCGAACCUACUUCAGACAGCUUCACUCUCCUAUAUCUCGGUUCGAAGGUGGAUGGACACAGAUCCCGAACAAUGGAGCAGAGCGAUGAGGAGACUCUGAACACGUAAUCGACUCUAAAGGACGAUCGGAAUAGAAACGACCUGGCAGGGGUAGUGCCGAUUCCUAUCCUCCUUGGUUCCCUUCAGCCGAGCUCUUCGAUGGCCAAAUCCUUUUUCAAGCGAGCGUCCAGCAUCCUCUCCUUCUCGCUCUCGGCUAACUCUCUUUCUCCCUCGUGAAUCUCUCUUCAGCCUAUCUCUCUGCAACUUGCCUCUUCAACGGCCGCCCUCUCGAAGACCGGCGGCAUCUCUCCUCCUCCUGUUAUGCGAACAGGAUCCUCUUGAGGCGAGCAUCCUUU
rnacentral:lncRNA from 1 species